AUUUUUUUUUUUUUUUUGGGCCUUUGGGAGAGUAGAGGUAUAAGCUUUUACUUCUAUCUUGGUAUUUUACGAUUAAAUAUAAUAUCUUUGUAGCAAAUGUUGUUCCAAAUUGCACUAUUUAUUUGAUAACAAGGACAAACCGGCAUUAAUUGCAAGAUAACAUGUUACGGUCAAAUGCACACGCAAGUAUACGCGAUCGUCAAAUAAUAAAGUGACUAGAAGUCGGAUGUCGAACCCACGAGUACCUGUGAUUAACUAUUAACUAAAUUAGACUAUCCUAAUUAUCUAAACAAGAAUUAAACCUAAAAGUAUUUGACUCUGAACUAAUUAAAAUAAAGGAAAAUAAAUAGUGAACGUUGAAGAAAAGAAGAACAUAUUUUUAUGUUAUCAAUAUAAUGAAAACGAUCUAGGGUUAUGGGCUAUCAAACAUUCCUAUUGUAUUCUUCAAUUGAAUUGACUAACUAAUUCAUCUACUUUAUUGAUUGACAAGGUUAAUAUUGCUCGGAAGAAUGCGCCGAGUUCUUACUCGCCUAUUCAAGCUAACCUAAUAUCUAUAUGUCUAUGGAAUUAGAACUAACAAGUGCACAUUUAUAAUUCAUGUAAAUCAACCAAGUAAGGCAAUUAGGUAUAUGUCUAUCCUAGCUGCGAAUUCGUUCCCCGAUGCCCGGGUUCAAGAACUUGCUCUACUCAAUCCUAUAUGCAACCUAGAAUUCCCACCUUCGAGUUCAACUCUAGAUUCGUAGAUAGUGUUUAAUUGGAGAUCAAGCAAUCAAAUAAUUAAGCACAAGAUUGAAUAAAUAAACCAAUAUGAUAAAUAAGAAAUCAAAAUCAAUAUUCAAAUAACAACAGUCAUAAAAGAACCACAACCCUAGAACGUGAAGUUUAGCUCCACAUAGACAUAAUAGUAAAACAACAGAUCAUACAAAGAAACAUAAAAUUUUCUACAUUUGGUGAAAGAAAGAUAAAACCCGGCCUCCACGGAGGCUCUGUGCUCUCCCCUUGGUCCAAAGUUACUUUCAAAAAGUCCUUUCCCCGUCAAAAUAGGUUUAGGACCCUUUUUAUAAGAGUUGGAGACAUGUAGGGUCGAAAUAACAUUGUCCUGAGUGAACUAGAAAAAGUCCCGCCUCCAGCGUCCAGGGCAGCGCCUCGUACUGACCCUGGUGCUCAAACAAGUAGCUUUUCACGCUCAAAUCUUGGUUUUCGUUAAUUGCUUUGCAUUGUAUAUAUUUGUCUUCCAAUUUGGGGUACAUACACCAAAGGGUGCCCCCUUUGUCACCUUCUAUAAUUUCCUUUUUUCCCGUAUUUUAUUCAAUUUUGCUCUAAAUCUCUUAAUUCUCAUACCGCUUUAUUCUUAUACAGCUAAAAUAUAAUAUUAAGCAUAAAAUAAUAUACUCCUAUAAACCUGUUUGACUGGGCACGAAGUUUAAGAAAAAAUGAAGCCCUUUGGAAUUUGUGGUCCUAAAUAAUUCAAAAAGGGGCCCAGAGUAUUUGUGUGGUUAUAAAAGCUUCUCAUUAAGGGUAGAAUUAUAAAUUUAAGCAAAAUUAUUUCCAAAUUUAGAAAGGGGCCAUUCUUUUUGGAACGGACUAAAAAGAAAAUAGAUUCACAUAAACCGGAACGAAGGUAGUAAUUAAUACUCAAAAGACGAUUAAAAGUACUAAAAUGUGAGGCAACAAUAGUUAAAUAUAUGCAUUUUUUAGCCGAACUUCACUAUCCCACACUUAAACGUUGUUCGUCCUCGAGUCAACCAACAAUUCACAAUAUUCUUGAGCACUUUAUAUUUACACAUUUGAAGCACACUAAACCAAUGACCAUGGUUGAUAGCAACAAUUAAACUGUAGAAUAAACAAUUACUUACACUUCCCUUUACUUAUGUCAUUCUUAAAAAAUAUACAUAACAAAGACAACGCGCUUAUAACAAUUCUAACCUCAAAAACUGACUCAAUGUCACAAUGCACUCAUGGCUUGAAUACUCAACAUCGUCGAGAAGCCUAAUAACGUUAUCUAUCACUCGUGAAACCAUGUGCCCACACAACAAAAUCUAGGAGAGCAAAAAGAAUCCACACAUUCGAAUCUCAUGCUCGAAUAUAUUUUAAAGACUCACAUAUAUCAAAGAAAGUCGCUCACUUUCACAAAGAAGUCACAUGCAUGCAAAAGGUACCAUAUGCUUUCCCUUAAUGUAAAUCUCUACUAAUGCAGGAUCGCUCGUUGUAAUGUGGGCUAAGGGAUGGGUAGGAUAUAUUUUAGGAAUAGUGGCUAACCCUCCUUAGCACUUUAACAAAUCACAUGAUAAACUUUAAGCACAUCUUCUUCAACACCACUUCAGUUUCACAAACAAGAUCACACCCCAAAAAUAUUCCCUCUUUCUUUAAGCACUACCUUAAUUUACAUCCCGCUAGCAAGAACAAGACAACAAUUUAUUCAUCUAUAUUUUUUUCUUCUUUUUUCUAGAUUUUCUCUCUUCUCUUUUUUUCUCAAUUUCCGCUAGUGGUAUAAUAUUUUACAAAACAAGCGCGCCCUUGUCACGAUCCAAAAUUCACUAAAGGUCAUGAUGGCGCUUAACACCGCCGUCAGCCAAGUCAACAGUGGAUGAUUAACUUAAUUACUCAUUUUACUAUUUUUGAAAUUAUAAUUUUAUCAAUUAAGUAGUAAGGAAUAGAAUUUUUACAGGGUAACUGAUAGUAUUUUCAUGACUACAAUAAUGAACCACCCAUAAGCAAACCCAAAACCCGGUGUCACAAGUUCAUGAGCGCCAACUAGGAAAUAUAAUGCAUUACAAUAUCUGUCUCGAGUAAAAUUUAGACAUGAGAAUAUAAAUAACUCAUAUGGAGACUCUGCAGACUGCGAAUCGUAACAUAAAAUACAGCUCACGGUAAGCCCCCGCAUCAUCCGCGCCUAUUCGCCCAAAAGAUCACCAAACAUAUAUGAACCUCCACAAAAAUGUGCAAUAAGUGUAGCAUGAGUACGUAAAUCAACGCAUAACUAAUAAGUAUCUAGUCUAACCCCAAAGAAGUAGUGACGAGGGGUCGAUAUCGACACUUAUUAGUGGUCCAAUAAGACAGAUACAAUAAUAAGUAAACAAAUAUGGGGCAGAGUAAGUAAACGAAUUAAAUAAGUAUAAAUAUGUGAUAAAAUCCUUCUCUCAACAAUAAGCUUNNNNNNNNNNNNNNNNNNNNNNNNNNNNNNNNNNNNNNNNNNNNNNNNNNNNNNNNNNNNNNNNNNNNNNNNNNNNNNNNNNNNNNNNNNNNNNNNNNNNNNNNNNNNNNNNNNNNNNNNNNNNNNNNNNNNNNNNNNNNNNNNNNNNNNNNNNNNNNNNNNNNNNNNNNNNNNNNNNNNNNNNNNNNNNNNNNNNNNNNNNNNNNNNNNNNNNNNNNNNNNNNNNNNNNNNNNNNNNNNNNNNNNNNNNNNNNNNNNNNNNNNNNNNNNNNNNNNNNNNNNNNNNNNNNNNNNNNNNNNNNNNNNNNNNNNNNNNNNNNNNNNNNNNNNNNNNNNNNNNNNNNNNNNNNNNNNNNNNNNNNNNNNNNNNNNNNNNNNNNNNNNNNNNNNNNNNNNNNNNNNNNNNNNNNNNNUACACCGGCCCUUUUGACAAAUAAUACGCACGAUUCCAUAAAAGUAUUUUACAGAAAUGCCGAGGCGUACGACCUGAUCCUAUCAUAAUCUAGUAUAUAGACUAGUUUUUGGCUACGCGCAUUGCGCGUGUAUCUUGAUAAAUGAAUAUAAAAAAUCCUAAAUAUAUAGGAUAAAAAAUAAUUUUUUAUAUUGUAAAAUUAAUUAUUAAAAAAUAAAAAACUAUGUAGGCAUUGGUGAACAUGUGUGGCACUACAUUCCCAAAUAUUCAUCCAACCCUAUAGAGUUCAAGGAAGGUAUAGCCACUACAUUCCCAAAUAUUCAUCCAACCCUUCUCGAAGCCUACACUAUAACCCGUGAAAAGUCCUUAGUGAUCUAUAGCCAAGACAUUCUUGUAGGCAUUGGUGAACAUGUGUGGUGCAGCAGCCAAAGUUGGGUAAGAAAUGGCCAAUGACAAUGAGGUAACCAUAGAAACUCCCAUGGCAAACUUUUCAAUGAGAGCAUCCUCAGUCAGGUCAAGAACUUCAGGACUGAAGACAGAUCCAUUUUCAUAAACAGAGAGAACAACAAGACCAUAUGAGAAGGGCCUGAUUCCAAGUUUGGCAAGCAGAGCAGCUUCAGAGGAACCCACUUCGUCACCCUUCUUGAUGAGCUCCACAGGGGUGAUAAUUUCAACAGUACCCUUAUUAAUCUUGGUGGGAAUGUUGAGCACCUGAAAGAAAGAUGUCUGAGAGGGAUCCAGACCAGUGUUGCCAGGAGGAACAACAACAUCAACCUCAAAAUUAGCUAGCAGUCAUAAAGAGAGCCUAAGAUCAUUUCAGCAUCCAAUCAUUAAACUGAGGAUUGCAUUAAGAAACCAACCGGGCAAAUUCUAGAUAUCACAAGUUAAGCAUAUGCAUUAUUUAUACAAAUCCUCACUCACUCACAACACAUGAACUAUUCGACUCAGCAUAAUUUCAGCCAUCAAAUAAAUGCAAGGCAACUCAAAGUUUCAUCACAUGAUAUUUGAGAUUCUGAGUAAGCAUAAAGUCAAAGAGUGAGCCUCAAGUUCACUAGAAUGACUAACCAUCAUUUUUUUUUUGUUACAAAAUUAGAAGGGUAUAAUUUAUUCAACAAAAAUUCAUCACAUGCUUGAAGCCAUAACAAUCAACACCAAACAAGUCAAAACAUUUUGUGCUUUCGCCAUGGUUCUACUAUUACACCCUUGGAAAAGAACACGACGAAGAAAAACCAAGGGGAAUUCAUUGCUAUCUAUCAAUCUACAUUAUUAAAGUAGGAGUUUAUGUACAAGUUUCACACAAAAGUUUGACUACCCCACCCCCAACCAAAAUGCAUGCAUUGUCCCCAAUGCAUAGAGAAUGUAAGAGCAAGGUUUAGGGGCUUCGUAAGGCAGUUGUGGGGCCAGGUGCUGGCUCUGUGGAAGCGACAGGUGGAACCUCGGACUGUGUGGUGGUAUCUGAGGUUAGAACAGAAAGCGUCACCUGUUGUGAGGCUGGGUCUGGGACCUAGGAGCUGCUAGCCUCUCCCAGUGAUGGCUGUGUGGUUGAUGGAUUGGCCUUGGCGACCAUGUCUGUAAUAGAGUGUGCAUUUGUUGUCUGCACAUCUGCUUCCUCUUCAUCCUGGUAUCUGUAAUUGCUGCCGUGAUUAUUUCAUGCUCUUGGAUCCUUGUGGAAUGCAAUGACUUCCUCAUAUGAUGUGAGAAAAAUAUUAGGAAAAGUACUGUCUGGAUACACAACUGAGACGAAGAAGAAAUUAUAAAGCCUUCAUACAAAAUACUUUGCAAGACAUGAAAGUAUUCUUUGGUUUAAUAAGUCUACGGCAACCUACAAUCAUCCUGAAUUGACCUUCCAUCAAUAAUUUGAAUAAUUUUUGUUCUUUUUGAAAGUAUUCAUUAACUUUUUUUAUGAAAGUUUUCAAAAUUGGAACAUAACACACUUUUUUUAAAAAUAAAGGAAAAUGAAAACUUCAUUUGACUAUGUGAAUUCUAAUUGGUUAUGCUCUGAGGAGUAUAAUUGAAGAAAAAAAUAUUAUUCCUCCGUUUCAUUUUAUGUGGCAAUGUUUGACUAGGCACGGAGUUUAAGAAAGGAGGAAAUGACUUAUGCAACUUGCACUCUUACACAUGACAUAACAUUUUUGUGGCUAAAAAAGCUUGCCAUUAAUGGUAAAAUCAGAAGUUUAAAGUUAAAUUGUAAUAAAAGGUGUCAUUCUCUAUCAUUCCGGAAAGGCCAAUAUGGUGGUCGAUGCCUUGAAUCGUAAGCUUAGCAUACUUACCGGUAGCAGAGAGGCCUCGGGCCUUGGAUAACCAGGUUGUUCGAUUGGAUGUUUCGGAGCCGAAUCGAGUUUUGGGGAUGAAGGCAUAUUACUGAUGCAGGGCAGGCAAUGUGUGCCUAAUGUAGAUGGUUUGCGUGAGUUUGUUCUCCAGGAGGAUCACAGUUCGCGGUACUCUAUUUAUCCAGGGGCCGCAAAGAUGUAUCAGAAUCUGAGGCAACACUAUUGGUGGAGGCGAAUGAAGAAAGAUAUAGUUGGAUUUGUGGCUCAGUGUUUAAAUUGUCAGCAAGUGAAGUACGAGCAUCAGAGACCGGGUGGAUUUUUCUCUCUUGAUAGAUCUCUCAUUUGCAUUUCUAACUUUUGUAUGGGCGCGGUGUGGGACCUUAGAAGCUGGGUCAUGUUCUUUAUUGAAGUGUCAUUUCUUUCUUGAUUUUGCAAUACUCUUUCAAGCAUGUUCUCUAAUUUGGACUCACUUGACGAGCUUUCCUUCCAAUGCGAAGAGUUAGAGUAUUGCCCCUUUGGUGGAAUAUAGGGGUUUGAACUCCGAUUUGAAUAGUUAUUAUUGUUACUCCAAUUACCUUGAUUUGAACUACCUUGAUCAUUUCGCCACUGUUGAUGGCCUUGCCCUUGCGGGUUAGACCUCCAUUGAUUUUGUUGUCCGGGACCUUGGUAGGCUUGUCUUUGGUACCCACCUUGAGAGUUGUUGACAUAGUUUGCUUCCUCACAAUCUUCAUUUGACAAGGGUUGCACAUCUUUCACAAUAUUCACCUUUUUUGUUUGGCUUUCAGUAAACAUCUUGGUUAACACAUUGAUGUUAGUAGCAAGCUCAACAAUUAAUUGAUCUUUUUCUUGGUUUUCCUUAAUCAUGUUGGUCAAUGAAGGAGGACCAUAUUCAAUUCCACCCGUUGUGUCUUCCGAGUGCCAAGCUUGGUUAUGUUCUGCCAUCUUGUCAAGAAUUUGUUUGACCCUUGCAAAUGUUUUAUACAUAAAGGAUCCAUCAGCUGCAUUUUUUGCUAUGGAUUGAUUCAAGGGGUCCAAGCCCAUGUAAAAUUUCUCCAAUAAGAUGUUGUCCAGAAAACCAUGAUUCGGCGACCUCACUAAAUAUAAUUUGAAUCGAUCCCAUGCCUCAUGUAGAUGUUCUCCCGGUAGUUGCUUGAAGAAGAAAAUUUUAUCCCGGAGCUCUGACUUCUUGCAUUGCGGGAACCAUUUAGCUAGGAAAGCUCGGACGAGUUCAAGCCAAGAGUGAAUGGAAUUAGAUGGUAGAUUUCGGAUCCAUUUCCUUGCCUCUCCAGCUAGUGAGUACUUGAACACCCUCAUUCUUAAGGCAUCAUCUGAAACGUUGUUCUACUUGUCCAUCGCACACAUACCCAAGAAGUUUCUGAGAUGUUGUGUCGGAUCAUCAUCGGUGGAAUUUCUGAAAAACCCCUCUGCUUUGAGCAUUAGGAUUAAACCGUGUUCCACCUUGAAGGUGGCAGCAUUAACUCUUGGAGGGACAAUGGCGUUUGUAUCCUCAAUGUACUCAUCUAUAUCCGCAAAAGGGUUCUCCUCUUCUUCAAACUCAGCCAUGUUUACCUAGUAACACCAAGCAAAGCAAGCAAAGUAUGAUGGAAUAGAAGAAUACGUAAAGUAAAGCACACAUUAAAUAGUAAUUCUAAAAUCGUAUUCCCCGGCAACGGCGCCAAAAUUUGAUACGCUCAAAUUACACCUAAAUAAAUGGUGUAAGGCGGUCAAUGACAAAUAUAAUAACCCAACUAGGUUGGGGUCGAAUCCCACAGGGAAUAUGUGUGAAAAGAUUGCUUGAAUAGUGUGAAACUUGACUUAAGUCGUAAUUCUAUUCUAUUAGCUUGAAAAUGGUAUUGUAAUUAUAUGUAGUAAAGAAGACUAUUGUGUUGUAAGAAUGUAUUUAAUUUGAUUUAGGAAACCAAGGUUGUGUCCCCAUCGUUGGAAUGUAAUGCUAUCGGUGUUAAUAUGAUAUAUUUCUAAUGGAAAGUCCUUUGAUAUGCAAAUGGUUUCUAAGUGACUACCCAAUAUUUCCCAAUAGUUGGGUAAUAUCUUCUCUUUAAAAUUUUCCCAAAUAUAAAAGAGUUGCAAUUAAGAAUAACCAAUUUAUGCCAAAUAGAACCCACUUAUUCCUAGGUGAUUCUAUUAAAUAAGGUUUAAAGCCUUGAGUUUUUGAUAUUCAAUUCCACCAAACCCUAACCCACUUUUUCAAGUAAAGAUAGAGUGAAAUGGAAUUAGUUAAUGUUUGUAACCACUAACAAUACAUGAAGAAUAAGUACUGAAUAAAUAUCAACCAACCAUUAUAUAUAUAUUCAAUGGUAAACACCCAUUAACAUCACACCCAUUUAGGGUCCACAACCUUAGUAGUUAAAACUAGCUACUCAUACUAGAAUCCAAGAACAAAGCAAUAAAUGAAGUCAUAAAGCUUACAAAGAUACAAGAUUCUUUCUUCAAAAGCUUCCAAAAUAAUGGUGCAUUCAAUGCUCUAAAAGUAGCUGCUUUUUAUGACCAGUUUUCCCAUAAAAACCCUAAUAAAUCUAUUUAUAGUGAACAAAAAGUCGGGGUCAAAUUGGGACAAAAAUGCCCCUGCAGAACCCAUCUGUGAUCGCAGAAUGGUCGCAUACCAAGUAUGCGGUCCGCAUAUUUGCAAGGGUCGUUGUAUAAUCACAAGCCCAGUUGCCCAAUUUUCCAUCGCAUUUCCAUUAUGUGGUCCGCAUAGCUAUUAUGCGACCGCAGACUUCAUCGCAAAGCGCUCAAACAAAAUCUCUUGUUGCAAUUGUGCGGUCAUUAUGCGGUUUGCAGAAGUGUUAUGCGACCGCAUAAUGGGCCACAUAUUCUUUUCUUCAUUGGCUAAAAUAACUGCUUCAGUCUGCGGUAGGUCUGCGAUCCGCACAUCACUUCUGCGGUCGCAUACUUGCCGCAUAUCUUCCCUUCUACGGGUUUUUGACUUUUUUUGUGUUUUUGGUUCUUCAAGUAUCGCACACUGCAAAGCACCAAAACUUCAUAAGAAAUAACUAAAAAUGCUUUAAAAGACGAGCUAAAGUCUAUGCAAUUAGUAUCAAAAGUGCCGAAAUUCUACGGCACAUCAAAAAUUCACUAAAGGUCGUGAUGGCACCUAACACCGCCGUCAGUCAAGCCAACAGUGGAUGAUUAACUUAAUUACUCAUUUUAAUAUUUUUGAAAUCAUAAUUUUAUCAAUUAAGUAGUAAGAAAUAGAAUUUUUACGGGGUAACUAAUAAUAUUUUCUCGACUACAACAAUGAACCACCCAUAAGCACCCCCAAAACCCGGUGUCACAAGUUCAUGAGUGUCAACUAGGAAAUAUAAUGCAUUACAACAUCUGUCUGGAGUAAAAUUUAGACAGGAGAAUAUAAAUAACUCAGAUGUAGACUCUGCAGGCUGCGAAUCGUAACAUAAAAUGCAGCUCACGGUAAGUCUCUGCAUCAUCUACGGCUCUGCGCCCAAAAGAUCACCAGACAUAUAUGUACCUACACAAAAAUGUGCAGUAACUGUAGCAUGAGUACGUAAAUCAAUGCGUACCCAGUAAGUAUCUAGCCUAACCGCAGAGAAGUAGUGACGAGCGGUCGACAUCGACACUUACUAGUGGUCCAAUAAGACAGAUACAAUAAGAAGUAAAUAGAUAUGGGGCAGAGUAAGUAAACUAAUUAAACAAGUAUAAAUAUGUGGUAAAAUCCUUUUCUCAACAAUAAGCUCAACUCUCGAUUAGCAGUCACCUCCUCCACCGAAGUGUGUGUGUGUGUGUGUGUGUAUAUAUAUAUAUAUAUAAUGGACCUCACUAGAUGGGUCGUCAUAAUUCAAAUCAGGAAAACUCCCAGAUACACUGGCCCUUUUGACAAAUAAUACGCACGAUUCCAUAGAAGUAUUUUACAGAAAUGCCGAGGCGUACGGCCCGAUCCUAUCAUAAUCUGGUAUAUAGACAUAGAUACAUCUAUUAUAUAUAUUGCCGAGGCGAAUAACCCGCUCCCAUGAGAGUGUAGUACAUAAUCCUGCCGAGACGAACGGUCCGAUCCUAUAAGGUGUGCGCACUGCCGAAGGUCGAACGUCACUAACCAUAGAUGUAUCUAUCCUGCCAAGGCGAACGGCCCGAUCCCAUUAGAAUAAGAAGCUUUGAUGGGUCCUUGACCCCACUCACGAAGGGACAUGUGAGUUAUAAGAAGCUUUGGGGGAAACCUUUCGAUGAGAACGCAUAACGCGGAAGAAAUUCGUAAGAGGAGUACAAUUAUUUCGCGGCAAAUCAUGAAGCCCGUCGAAUCUCUACAAUAAUGAGUCUAUCGCUCUACACAAGUCUAGUCUCAAGUCAUAAUGUAAAAUAAAGGAAUCUAAUAGACAAGGGACUGCUCAAAUUGUACAGCUAUAGCAUGGUGUGAGUCUAAGUCUACCCUGACAAUAAUAUGGAUCUAACUACAUACGGACUCUCAUCACCUCGUGCGUACGUAGCCCCCGCAACAAGUAACACAUAUCAAAUACAUCACCUAGGGAUAGUUCCCCCCUCACAGAGUUAGACAUGAGACUUACCUCGCUUCGAAGUUCCAUAACCAACUCCAAAGCCUCUCUAACACCUCAAACCCAUGCCCGUCGCUCCAAAACUAGUCAAACAAUGUGCAAACCCAUAAUAAUAUACUCUAAUGCUCAUAACAAAUCAAUUUAAAACAUUUCCUACUCCGCUCGAAAAGGCGAUAAAGUAACCCUCAGGCCCACGUGCCUGGAUUCCGAAACUUUUCGAACAUAACCAUUACCCAUAACAUUACGAACUCAAAUAUAUAAUUUAUUCUAAAUUUCAUGUCCAAUUUCAUGGUCAAAAUCCAAAAAAAAAAUCGAUUUUUAGGUUUUUUUCAAAAUCUCAGAAUUUUUUUAUAAAUUUUCAUGCUUGAAUCCAUAUAAAAAUCAUGUAUUUAACUCACAAUGUGAAGAAAUCACUUACACCAUUAUAGUUGAUGAAGAUGGCACUCCAAAAGUGCUCCAAAAUUGGCUCCCAUAGACGAAAAUGGGCCAAACCCCCGUUUUAAAUAAGCCUCACUGCCCAACACGAAUUCCGCUUCUGCCGUGAGAAGGUCGCUUCUACGACAGCCACUUCUGUGGCUCUAAGUCUCGCACCUGCAAGAAACCAAGCCAAGGUCGCUGGCCGCUUCUGCAGCCCUCAUGCGCAUCUGCGCCCACGCUUUUGCGCCGCCCACUCCGCAGGUGUGGUCCCGCUUCUACGGCGAGAUGACCACAUCUGCGGUCUCAGCACUACCCAACGAAAAUUUGCAUCUGCGCCCCCUCUUUUCCGCUUCUACGGCUCCGCACUUGCAGCCAAAACCUCACAGGUGCUAUUACACCAGAAGACAGAUGUGUCAGCUCUUCUUCCAAGUCCAAACUCGAUCCGUUGAUCAUCCGAAAUCCACCCGAGGCCCUCGAGACCUCAACCAAAUAUACCAACACAUCCCAAAACACAUUACGAACUUAGUCGAGGCCUCAAAUCAUGCCAAACAACAUCGAAACUACGAAUUGCGCAUCGAUUCAAGCCUAAUGAACUAUUGAACUUCUAACUUUCACACCCGAUGUCGAAAACUAUCAAAUCACGUCCAAUUGAUCUUAAAUUUUGCACCCAAGUCCUAAAUAAGAUUACGGACUUAUUCCAACUUCCAGAAUUGAGAUCCGACUCUGAUAUCAAAAAGUCCACCCCCCGGUCAAACUUCCAAAAACCUCUAACUUCCAACUUCCGCCAAAUAACCCCAAAAUGACCUACAGACCUCUAAAUCUACAUCCGUACGUGCUUCUAAGACCAAAAUCGUCAUACGGAGCUAUUCCCAAGCUCAGAAUUCCAAACAGAUAUCGAUGGAAUUAAAAUACACUUCAACCCAAAUUUAUAAAAUUCUUCUAAAAUGACAAUUUUUCACAAUGAGCGCUGAAACGCUCCUGAAUCAUCCAAAACCCAAUCUGGACAUAUUCCCAAGUCUAAAAUCAUCAUACGAACCUAUUGGAACCUUCGAAUCCCAAUUCGGAGUUCGUUUACUAAAAAAAUCAGACUUUAGUCAAUUCGUCCAACUUAAAGCUUCCAAAAUUAGAAUUUUCCAUCUAAGUCAGCCCCGAACUUCUCGAAAUUCAAUUCGGACCAUAUAUGCAAGUCAUAAUAUCUGAAGUGAAGCUACUCAUGGCCUCAAACCAUCGAAGGACGCGCUAGGGUUCAAAACGAUCGGUCGGGUCGUUACAGUCCUUCUUUCAUUAGUUCCACUUGAAAGCCACCCCAUACUUAGUUCUUACUUCUUGUAGCGCUCAUUUCACAAUUACAGUGCUUUAAGAGGUAAAGGGAUCAAAAAAAUGUCAAUUAAUAACUAAAAGGGUAUAGGCUUGUAAUGUGUGUGCCAAAUAAAAGUCUAUAGGAUCAAAAGGGUUUACUAGGGAUCAAUUUUAUUUGUGAUAAGAAAUAUAGGUUAAAAAAAAUCAAAGAAAGCCUAAAAUCAUUUCUCAAACCGAGCAUCACCUAAAAUUUCUCUUUAACUCAUAUUCCACAUAUGGCACAUACCUCACUAAGGGACGGUCUCAUUCCAACUCUCAGAUUAAAGCAAGUAUUCACAGAGCCACGAGAUAUUAAGCAUUAAGCACAAAGUGAACAUAGGUCAAGUAAAUAAGACAUAGGCGUCACAAGACAUGCAAUCCAUAUACACAAGGCAACAUGAACGACUUCAACACAUGGGGAAUAUUCUAUACAUGUCAAAGCCUAAAUGUGCUACUGUCAAACAAAUCAAAGGUGCCUAGGUUCAUCUUUCUUCCUCCAUUUAUUUCCUACAUCAUACUCUAAAAAUAAAAAAAUAUUACUACCUAGUUCAAGUUACACCCCAUGGAAAAGAACCGAGGCCCAAAAAAUCCAUAGGGGGAUUAUUACUACCUAAAAAAUAAUAAAAAGAUAUAUUUUUAUAUUUUUCUGUUUUCAAAUUUAUUUAUUUUUUUGUAAUAUUUUUUGUUAGACUUUAAUCCCUCAAGAAAAUUGUCUAGGAUAUCCAUCGUCACGAAAAAUCCAAUAUUUUUCAAUAAUUAAUAAACUUUAAAAAGAGGAAGAGCGGAGUUUUAUAUUAUCAAUGUGAUGAAAAUGAGCUAGGGUUGUGGCCUAUCUAACAUUCCUAUUGUAUUCUUCAAUUGAAUUGACUAACUAAUUUAUCUAGUUUAUUGAUUAACAUGGUUAAUAUUGCUCAUAAGAAUAUGUCGAGUUCUUACUCGCCUAUUCAAGCUAACCCAACGCUUAUAUGUCUAUGGAAUUAGAACUAACAAGAACACAUUUAUAAUUUCUGUAAAUCAACCAAGCAAGACAAUUAGGUAUGUGUUUAUUCUAACCGCGAAUCCAUUCUCCGAUGUCUAGGUUCAAGACCUUACUCUACUCAAUCCUAUAUGCAAUCUAGAAUUCCCACUUUCGAGUUCAAUUCUAGAUUCGUAGAUAGUAUUCAAUUGGUGAUCAAGCAAUCAAAUAAUUAAGUUCAGGAUUGAAUAAAUAAACUAAUACGACAAAUCAAGAAAUCAAAAUCAAUAUUCGAAUAGCAAUAUUCACGAAAGAACCACAACCCUAGAACGUGAAGUUUAGCUCCACAUAGACAUAGUAGCCAAACAAAAAUCCAUACAAAGAAAUAUAAAAAUUACUAAGUUUGGUGAAGAAAAGAUGAAACCCAGCCUCCACGGUGGCUCUGUGCUUGUGUUUUCCUCUCAAAAACGUUCUUUCCCUAUCAAAAUAGAUUUAGUACCCCUUUUAUAAGAGUUAGGGACGUGUAGGGCCGAAAUAGCAUUGUCCCGAGUGAACUAGGAAAAGUAUCGCCUCUAGCGUCCAGGGCAGCGCCUUGCGCUGACCCUAGCGCUGAAACCAGUAGCUUUUCACGAUCAAAUCUUGGUUUCCAGGUACGUUUUCCUUCUUUCGGUUUUUUCUUUGCAUUGUAUAUGUUUGUUUUCCAAUUGGGGGGACGAACACCAAAGGGUGCACCCCUUUUUUUUUUUUUAAAAUUUUAAAAUUAAUCACCUAAAAUACUACACUACUACAAAAAUAAAAAUAAGAAGUUAAACUCAAAAUAAGAUGUUAACAUUUUUUUACUACUAACAUACUACUACUAACUAUCUAGAGAAAUUUUCUCACCCCACACUUAAAAAAGAGUGCGGUAUCCCCAAUGCACAAAUAAAGUAAAAAUAAAUAACAAGGGUGGAAAAGAAACUUCAUGAGAGGCCAAAGGCCGAAGUAAUAGCGGCUCACGGGGUACUCAGACUUCUCCAAGGCAUGAUCCUUUGUGCGGGCAUCUCACACUAAGUUCCAACCAUCUGUCUCACUUUUGCACACUUCAUAUAGCUUUGCUCCCUAUGCUCAAAAUCCUACAAAAUAAAACAACACUACAAAAAUAAUUCAAUAAGAAAAAAAAAUCAAACUAAAAGAAAGCAGUAAAGCUAGGUUACCUCCCAACAAGCGCCUGAUUUAAUGUCGCGGCACGACGUAAACAACUUUUUGCCUCCACCUCGAACUUAUGAAUUGAGCCCCUAAUUUGGCUUCAAGCUUUCUGUUAUGCUCCCGAGGUGGUAAGGAAAAUUUAAUUGGGCCAAGCAACCAAUAUCGCAUUCUACACUUCUUGGCUUUCGGAUGAGGUAUGUAAUUCUGUCUCUCUGGCACAACGAAUUCAAGAAUGUAAGCACCCCGUUCCUCGUCCAUUGACUCCUUAAAAGGCUCAGAUGACUCAAUUUUCAUGUCAUGAUCCAAACACAAUGUUGAAAAAUGUAUGGAAUGAGGACCAAUACUCCCUAACUCUAGAAUUGUAUUAUUCUUUACAUCCUCAUAGUUACAUGCACAAGAGUCUUCAAAUAUAACAUUAUUUGCUUCCUCACAUGGCUCUAGUGUACUUUUCUCAACAUGGGCAUCAUCAACAAAAACAUACUUGAAUGAUUGGCUCUCCACUUUUAUCUCCUCAAUUUGGCGUAUACUCUCCUUUUCAGCUUCACACAACUCAUUACUAUUUGUUGGGCAUUAGAACAUUAACCUUUGCAUUCAAUUGAGCCUCUAAGUCAUGAAUAGUAAUGCUAAAUAUAUCAAUCUCUUGUCCCAGUUCAGCUCUUCCUUCUAUAAAGUAUCUCAUCUCAUUUAUAAUUUUCUCACAUUGAGCCUCAUACAUUUCUAAUCUUCCAGCUUGUUCCAUUAGCCAAGUUUGGCUAAAAAUCUCCUCUUUUUCAAAAUUUUCUUCUAGUUGGAACUCGCUCUCUUUAUUCAAUUCUUCUAGAUUGGCCUUCAUCCUUGUGAUUGUUGUCCUCAUUCUUUUCAUAUCCUUUUUGAGUUCAUCAUGCUGCUCUGCUACUUGCCUCCAAAUAUUUCUAAUAUAUGCAUCACAUCCAUAUGCUGCACUUCAUUUGUCACGACCCAAUUUCCCCUCCGUAUGACGUCAUGAUGGCGCCUAGUCUUUACAACUAGGUAAGCCUAAUGUUUGCGGAAUAAUAAAAUGAAAACAUAAAUUUAACAACUAAUUAUAACAAUAGCAACAUAACUGGGUACCAUGCCGCUUGGCAUGUACAAUAACUAACUAUUCAAAAAUACCCAGAAAAAUAAAUCCCAAAACCCGGAACAUCGUGAAUCACAAACUCCAGAAGGAAAAACUAGUGUCUUUAUACAUCAGAGUCUAACAAAAGAAAAAUACAGAAGAUAAUGGACAUGUGAAAGAGUAGAAGGGGACUCCGAGGUCCGCGGACGUGGCAGAUAUACCUUGAAAUCUCCAAAGCUAUCCCGGCUCACUGAUAGUGCGGCUGAUAAGAAGCACCUAGAUCUGCACACGGAAACAUGUGCAGAAGAGUAGCAUGAGUACACCACAAUCGGUACCUAGUAAGUGCCAAGCCUAACCUCGGUCGAUAGUGACGAGGUCAGGUCAGGACCCUACUGGUAUAAAUAAUAAUAAAGCAAGGCAAGAAUGAAAUAUCACAGUAAAAUAAAGACUGAAAUUUAACAGGGAAGAAUUCAUAUAAGGUAACAGCUCAGUACACAGAAAUACAACAGGGGAUCUCCCGAGAUACCAUCUCUUAGUCCCAAACGCAAAUGUGCAGAACAGGAGGAUCUCCCUGAAUACCGUUCCGUAUUUCCAAAGUAAAUAUGCAGUAUAGGGGGAUCUCCCGGAAUACCGUUCCGUAGUCCCAAAGUAAAUAUACAGUACAGGGGGAUCUCCCGGAAUACCGUUCCAUAGUCUCAAAGUAAAUAUGCAGCCAAACAAUAGAAUUCAAUAGUUAUGACACGAAAUUCUACAGUUCAACCUAAGUACCAGUUAAGGAAAGACAUGUAAAUUCACUAAACAUGAUGCAUGUAGUUCAAGUAAAUAAUUAAGGCAAGUAGGCAUGCUCUACCCGAAGUAAAUAUGUAGCCAAACAAUAGAAUUCAAUAGUUACGUCAUGCAAUUCUACAGUUCAACCUAAGUACCAGUUAAGGAACGACAGGUAAAUUCACUAAACAUGCUGCACCUAGUUCAAGUAAACAGUUAAGGCAAGUAGGCAUGCUAUUCCAGUCUAGCCGGACACUACACAUGUUGAUGGAACUCAAAUAAGAAGGAAGUCAGGUUAUUAUUUAGAAGAAAAAUUGGGUUUUUACACAAUUUGCCCGUAUACGUACUCAUCACCUCACGUACACGGCGCUCAUGUAUCAAAAACAAUACUAAUUCCACGGGGAGUUCCUCCACACAAGGUUAGGCAAGCCACUUACCUUGAAUCAAGCUCGAUCAAUCAGUAAGAAUGCCUUUUCCACAAAUAUCCGACUCUGAAUAGACCAAAUCUAGCCAAAAUAAUUGAAUAUCAUAAAUACAACUAUAAUAGGCUAAUCUAAUUAAUGAAAUCAAGAUUUAAAAAAAAAUUUGAAAUCCAUCCUAAAAUGUCAACCCGGGCCCACGUCUCGAAAUCGGGUAAAAGUCACAAAAUACGAACACCCAUUCACUCACGAGUCUAACCAUAUAAAAAUUAUUCAAAUCCAACCACAAAUCCCCUUCCAAAACUCGAAAUCUUUAUUGAAGAAGUUCUUCUAAUUUUUUCCAAUUUCAACCCCAAAAUCCGAAAUUAAAGAAGAAUUUAAUGAUGGAUUAGUGGAAUAUAACCAUAAAGGAGUUAAGAAUCGUUACCCAAUCGAUAUCUCUGAAAAUCCCUCAAAAUCUCGUCCAAAUCGGAGCUCCCAACUCAAGUUUUUGAUAAAAUGGCAAAACCCCCAUUUUUUUGGAAACUUUAAUCCUGCCUAGUGAUUCCUUAAUCGUGAUCGCGGAAAUAGCCUCGCGAUCGGGAAGAACAACUUUGCUGCCCCAGAAAUUAACUCUACGCGAACGCGAUGCUCUGGCUCUCAUAUUUACGCGAUCGCGAACACCCCAACGCGUUCGCGAUGAGCAAAGCGCGUGGCCCAGAUUUGGUCCACUUAACACUACGCGAACGCGACCUUGGCUCUACAUUCGUGAAGCACAAACUCACUUCACUACGUGUUCGCAUGCCCAGGUCCGCGAAUGCGAAGAACAAUUCCAUCAUAUGCCCAUCUAAGCCUACGCGAUCGCGGAUCACCCCACGCGAUUGCGUAUAAGGAAACCAGAACUGAGACACCAGAAAACUUCAGCAACCUCAUAAGUCCAAAAUCGAUCCGUUGGGCAUCCGAAACUCACUCGAGGCCCCCGGGACCUCAGCCAAACAUACCAACCAAUCCUAAUACACCAUACGAACUUAUUCGAGCCCUCAAACCACAUCAAACAAUGCUAAAAUCACGAAUCUCCCUCCAAUUCAAACUUAAAAAACUUGAAACUUCAAAUUUCCACAACCGAUGCUGAAGCCUAUCAAACCACGUCCGAUUGACCCCAAAUUGUGCACACAAGACAUAUUCAACAUUACGGACCUACUCCAACUUCCGAAAUCAGAAUCCGACCCUGAUAUCAAAAUUUUCACUACCGGUCCAAAUCUCCAAAAAUUCGACUUUCGCCAUUUCAAGCCUAAAUAAGAUACGGACCUCCAAAACACAAUUCGGACAUGCCCCUGAGCCCAAAAUUACCUAGCAGAGAUAACGGAACCGAAGGAACUUCAUUCCGAAGUCAUCUUCACACAGUUUCGACUACGGUCCAAAUUCUAGUGCUUAAACCUCCAUUUAGGGACUAAGUGUCCCAAAAUACUUCAAAAAUCAAAAUGAAACCUCCCGGUAAGUCACAAUAGUAGAAAUAGAUAUGGGAGAAGCAGUAAAUAGGGGAUCAGGGCUAUUACUCUCAAAACAACCGGUCGAGUCGUUACAUCAUUGCCCCUAUCAAACUCAGAAACACGGUUAGAAAGAUCAUAACAAGGGCUCAAAGAAGGAUGAAAAGAAUUAGGACAACCAUCCCAAUGGCCAUCGUGACCACCACCACAUAUUACAAAUAUUCUACUCAAAGGAUUGAGAUUGUGCGCAUAACUCGUUCCCGGGAACAUUCUGAUAAUAUUUUUACCAGUGAGGUCCUCCACAAUAUGGACUAGGAUCAUCAAAAUAAGAAUAACCAUCAUUCGAAUAAUUUUCAUUCCAAGAUGCCAUGUUAAAAUAAAUAAAAAAUACUAACUAAACUAAAAAAAAUAGUAUAGAUAAAAAAAAAUAUCUAAUUUAGAAAUAUAGCUAAUUCUAAGUCCCCGGCAACGGCGCCAAAAACUUGUUGCAACCAAACGCACACCCAAGUAUACGCGGUCGUCAAGUAAUAAAGUGACUAGAAGUCAGAUGUCGAACCUACGAGGACCUGUGACUAACUAUUAACUAAAUUAGACUAUCCUAAUUAUCUAGACAAGAAUUAAACUUAGAAGUAUUUGACUAUAAACUAAUUAAAAUAAAGUAAAAAUAAAUAGUGAACGUUGAACAAAAGAAGAGAAAAUUUUUAUGUUAUCAAUGUAAUAAAAACGAUCUGGGUUGUGGGCUAUCUAAUAUUCCCAUUGUAUUCUUCAAUUGAAUUGACUAACUAAUUCAUCUAGUUUAUUGGUUGACAAGGUUAAUAUUGCUCGGAAGAAUCCGUCGAGUUCUUACUCGCCUAUUUAAGCUAACCUAACACCUAUAUGUCUAUGGAAUUAGAACUAACAAGAAUGCAUUUAUAAUUUCUGUACAUCAACCAAGCAAGCCAAUUAGGUAUAUGUCUAUCCCGCGAAUUCGUUCUCCGAUGCCCGGGUUCAAGAAUUUUCUCUACUCAAUCCUAUAUGUAACCUAGAAUUCCCAUUUUUGAGUUCAACUCUAGAUUCAUAGAUAGUAUUUAAUUGGAGAUCAAGCAAUCAAAUAAUUAAGCGCAAGAUUAAAUAAAUAAACCAAUAUGACAAAUAAGAAAUCAAAAUCAAUAUUCAAAUAACAACAGUCAUGAAAGAACCACAACCCUAGAACAUUAAGUUUAGCUCCACAUAGACAUGGUAGCAAAAUAACAGAUUUUUCUAUUAUAUAGAAAAGGCAAGUUGGUUGACCAAGGGCAGAAUUGUCAUUAUACUCUGCCACAAAAGUGCUUUUAACAAUGCGUGUCUUCAAAACUCUUUCGUCUGUUCCAACAGAACUAAGGCGUAUCCUACUAUCCUUUCAGUUCUCCUUUUUCAGACAUUAAGGAAUACUCUGUGCUCCUGUAUUUUCUCAUCUGUCUUACGAUUCAAGGUAUGGUUCUCUUAAAUUUUUCUCAAAUCAUCUUCGUCUUGUUUUUUCCUUUAUUUUAAGAUCUCUUAACGGUUUUCAUUUUUAUGGAUUCAUUUCCAUGGCUGCUGUUAUUUUAUGGUGACAAAACAAACUACAGAUGCAUGUGUUAAUCACUUAAUGAUGGAUUAAGUUUCGAUUUAAUUAUUUGGACUUAUAGUUGAAACCUAUGAGCAACCUGUCUUCUUUAUUUUCCUAAGCAGAGAUUGAAACUUUUCAUUGUACUUGGCAUAUUGUGGUUAGUAAUUUUAAAGGAUUACAGAAGAAUGUGAAUUUAAAAUGGAUGUUUAUCUUUUGUUCAAUUUAAAUAUGCCAAAGUUUAAUUAAUCCUCUGUUACUUUAAUGGAAAAACAUUGUUAUACUCUUUGAAUUAUUUUUUUACAUGGAUGGAGGAGUUAAUUACUUAAAUCGUCAUCUUAGUUAUGCAAAUACGGUCGUAAAAAUAAUCUACUUUUUAUACCGUACUUUGUUCACUAAAAGGCAUGUCAAUAACAUGGUUGUGAACUUGUCGUCCUUAUAUAUGUCAAUAACUUACUGAUAACGCGAACAUGACAAAAUGGUUGAAGAAGCUAAGAGGUGUUGUACCAAAAUUUCAAGAUAAAAGGUCUAGGAGAGUUGAAAUGCUUCCUUGGAACUGAAUUUGCUGGAUCAUAACAAGAAAUCAGAUGUAUCAACACAUGUAUGCUCUAUAUCAUUAAUCUCAAAGCUGUGAUUAGAUUGAUGAGGUUACAGAUUGAAUUUUUGGUAUAAGAAAAACAAAUAGGUAGUCAUUUAAAGCUCAAGUUGAAUUCGUUUAGGAACUCUUUGUUUUCUAACUAAUUGUUAUACUCCAUACGACACAUUCGCCUCUUGCAUUCUAACCUAUACAGAGUUGAUAUUCUAUACUAGAUCGAAGCUUAAUUAGAAAUUGAGCUUUUUUUAGUUGUUAACUAGAAAUUGGGCUCAAGUAAUGGAUAUAUAAGGAGCAAAUAGUUCUCGACAAAGCAAUGUUUCAGUUAUAUGUCUACUUGAAAGUAGUUUUAAAUAUGCAAACUUGUGCGGAGCAUAGUCUUACAUAUCUUGCUACAGCUCUUUCAGGAACCAAAGGUGAUUCUUCAGAUAUUACCAUGAUAUUGACCUUCCAUUACUAGCCUCGCAUCCUUUUGAAUGUUUAAGUAUUCUUGAUAUUAACGACAUAAUUCAAUUUUAUCAUUCAGAUCUACUGAUUAAGGAUUAUUAUUUCCUGUAUUUAGUAGGCGAACACUAGAUUAGUCUCACCAGUUAUUAAUGGUUCCAGGGAGAUCAUCUUAGCUUUCCGUAGAUGUGUCUAACCAAAAAAUGAUGUUCCUUCUGCUUUUGGUCCUUAACCAUCCAAAGUUGUUAAGGUAUUUUCAAUUGAAACUUUCAUUUUUGUAUUUCUUCUUUCAAGAUACUAACGACUUCCCUUUUUUAAGUUUCUUCUUAAAAAUAUUGCGUUAAGUGUCGUGGGAGCCAGAAGGAAAUACGAAGGGUAAAACUUCAUGUUAAAAGUAAGAUUCGCCAAAAACACUAGAUCCAAAGAGAUGUCUAAUUUUACUAAUUGAGAAAAUUUAUCUGUUUAUCUUCUCCGUACUUAUAAAAUGUUAUGUGAUUUUAAUUUAUUUGUUUUGUUUAUUAUGUGUAUAUGUUUUCUCUACUGGAAGAUCUGAAAAAUAUUACGACUUAAUUUUUUCUUUGUCAAGUCUUCCUAAUAUUAUCAUUUAAGAGCGACUUUUCUACAUGAUUGCAUUUACUUUCAUUUUGAUCUUCACAUUCAAUAUGUUUGAGAAUUUGAGAUUUGUGGAGAUAGAGACGCUUCCUAAAUGGUUCAAACAAGUCCCACAUUGAGAGAUACUCUUGAAACACUCAUAGACGAAACACUAAUUGCAAGAAAUGAUAAACAUGGACAUGAAAAUGCAAUUUUUGCUCUAUGAUGCUGACCUAAAGUAUAGUUAUAUCUUAUUCAUGAGUACUUUCACAAUGAAAAGGUUACAUUACUUGAUAUGUGUUAAAUACUGAAUAGGUGAUCCUUGCGGCCAAUAAAGUAUAACUUUUCUUGGUUGUAUAUCGUCAAAAUAGGAUUCUAGCAGUCAUGAGUCUCUUUGAUUAUGUUAUUGGCUAAUGUAGUAUCUGGAUAUAUGUACAUGGAGACUGAACAUAUUGAUUCUUUUGAUAAAUUGUUGACUUAAUGAUUAGAUUCUUGAAGCUCAAAUAAGAAUUCACCACUUUAUUGACUUACCAAUUAGAAUGUCUCCGACUUAGAUCCGACGGACUUGGAAACUUUGCUCUAUGUUGCAAGAUCUAUCAUAAAAACUUGAAGAGGUGCCUUCCACUUAUGUAGUUUUGUAUCUUCUGUCUAUUUAUUUGGUUAUUAAUCUUUUUCAGCGGAAUCCAAUUUAUUUGAUAUAUUUUGGAACAGGUUAGUAGCACAAAUGAGCCUCUAAUUUGCAUUUACACAUUCUCAGAAGGAAUUUCUUUCAAUACGUGCACCUAAUUUUUUUUUUCGAGAAUUGUAAGCUACUUUCUAAUGAAGGCUUAAAGGAUUUUGCUUCUCUGUGUUGAAAAUUUUCAAGAUUUUUAUGUUAAUGCGCUGUUGAUAUGCAAGACUUGUAUGAAUAUAUUGUGAUCGGUACAAAAUACUAAAGGAGAUUGGCUUUUAAAGAAAGUAUUUCGACUUGAACGAUAACCGUUUCGAAGGACGAAUUCCUCCCACGCUUGGCAAUUUUGAAUUCCUCCCACGCUUGGCAAUUUUUCAAAAUUGUGGAAAUGUUAAGUGCACUUUGAGUUGUCAUUGUCAGUAUGUGGGUUUCUUUUUUUUUUUUAUCCAGAGCUAAAUAUGAUUUGUCAUCGUUCACUUUAAUUCAGAUUGAUUUCCUAAGUUCAAGUAUAUGUGAUAUAGCUUGAAUGGUCGUUUCUAUGAUUGAUAAAUAAUUUGCUUCGUUCUGCGUCUUCCCUAAGCAUCAGACUUCUUCGGUUUUUGCAUAUCAAUAUUUGAGACAUUUGAUUUACAUGGCAUGUAUUGGACUUUUUAAGUUUUUGUGUCUUCACGUUUGAGAAUUUGAGUUUACAUCACCUUGUAAACAAAGAAUAUUUGCAACAUUUGAAGUCAUUUUACAGUCCAAGUUCUAAGGAUCAUGCUUAGUUGUUAUCUCUUGGUUACGGUUUUAUGUUUCUUGAAAUUAAGCAAUGACCAAUCAUAUUAGAAUAUGCAUAUGCAAAAUCAUCAAUAUUCUGAAUGAUAUGUAUUGGUCCAUACUGAAACCAAUUCAAGGAUUGAAAAGAAAAAAGAAAUCGUCAGAUGCUCGAAAAUGUGAAAUGUUGGGCCCAUGCUUUGCAUGGGCUAAAUCUAUCUAGUUUAUACAAAGAAACAUAAAAAUUACUACCUUUGGUGGAAGAAAGAUGAAACCCGACCUCCACGGCGGCUCUGUGCUCUCCCCUUGGUCCAAAGUUACUCUCAAAAACGUCCUCUCCCCAUAAAAAUAGAUUUAGAACCCCUUUUAUAAGAGUUAGGAAUAUGUAGGGUCGAAAUAACUUUGUCCCGAGCAAACUAGAAAAAGUCCCGCCUCCAGCGUCUAGGGCAGCGCCUCGUGCUGACCCUGCCGCUGAAACCUAUUAGCUUUUCACGCUCAAAUCUUGGUUUCGAGGUACGUUUUCCUUCUUUUGUUAUUUGCUUUGCUUUGUAUAUAUUUGUCUUCCAAUUGGGGGAACAAACACCAAAGGGUGCACCCUUUGUCUCCUUCUAUAUUUUUCUUUUUUUUUUAUUUCGUAUUUUAUUCAAUUUUAUUCCAAAUCUUUUAAUCCUCAUACCACUUUAUUCCUACACAGUUAAAAUAUAAUAUUAAGCAUAAAAUAAUAUAAUUAAUACUCAAAAGAUAAUUAAAAGAACUAGAAUGUGAGGCAAUAAUAGUUAAAUAUAUGCAUUUUUUAGCCGAACAUCAUAACACUAAUGAUCAAGAAGCAUCAACUACUGAAAAGAAUUUCAUAAUAGUAAUUUCAAACCUCCACAGCGGUCUUGACCCGGAUCCUGCGUGCAAUGGCAAAGCCAGAAACUUCAUGAAAAAUGUUCAAAAUUUAACAUAUACAUAUAAAAAUAUUUUUUGGUCUACAUACACAGUAUAACUUUCUGUAUAUAAAAUAUAAUUUUUCGCUGAAGGGUGUUCGGCUGACCACCCUUCAAUGUAUAUGGCUACGUCACUGCCUGCGUGAGAGCAGAAUAUUUUGUGUACCGGGCUGCUUUUUUUACACACUAAAGUGCUACGAUUUUUAGUAAGUAGAGCAGAGUUUUGUACUCUCUUCAGAAGUUCAAUUGAUUCCCUUUGGAGUAGUUUCAAUGAUUAAUCUAAGUUGCCUCUUUCACGUGAAGAUCAAAAGGAUGCAAAGUGUAUAAUUUUUAGGCAUGUGCACUCCUAUGUAGUAUAAACCUAUCAAUAAUUUUUUUGUAUUAUAUUAUUUAAGUUGGAAGAUACAUAAUAAAAAACUUGAUAGAUCAAAAUGUUCAUGUAAACAAAAGUAAUUGACGAAAUUCGUAAGGAUGAAAUUUAAAGGAUUUGACGGAAAGGCACUACUAAGAGCAUGAAAACCUUACCGGGUUUAGACGUAAUAAGGAAUGAUAUAGUAAGAGCAUGGGAGUGUGUGCGCGCCUUUAGAACAAGCAUGAAAUUAUAUCUUAGAAUUUUAGUGGGGUAGGUUUUUUUUAAAUUAUUAUUAAGUUAAUGAUGUUGGGCAUAUUUCUAUAAAUUUUAAUGUUACUUUCCUAUGUUUUAAACGUUUUUUGAUACUAUUUGGUGUUAAAAAUGCCCAAUAUGUGUUAAUUAUUGGCUUUAUAACUAAUUAAGUUCCGUGUGAUGAUUUAGGAUGUUUGGAGUGAAAAAAUAUGAAGAAAAAAUAUUCCCGCUAUAUGAAAAGAGGGUGGAUGUGUCGCAUCCAACCUUGAAAAAAAGGCAGCGCAGUGCUACUUGGAAAAAAGGCAGCGCAUCCUUAGCAGUGAAGUUAGAAGAAGGCGUCUACCUUAGCAUCUGCACUUGGGCGCAGCAAAGUUGAGGGGACAUAGGGUGGACGUGAAGCAUCCACCCCAGCAUCCGAUGCCGAUAAGUUCAAGUUGAGGCAGACGCGAAGCAUCUAACUUAGCAUCAAUCCCUGAAGCUGAUUCGAAAAAGAAAAAGGAAAACUUUGGCCCAUGACUUUUGUACGCAAUAUAUAAGUUAAAAAUGCCCCUUUUAGGUCAUCUAACACACUGGGAAACGGAGAAAAGCCAUCACAGAAUUUGGGACCCGUAGAAUUCGUCUUGAGUUCUUUUUUUCCCCUUCUUUUAUUGACUUUUAUGUGUUCUUGAGAAUUAUUUGAGAUUGCUACCAUGACUAUGCAUGGCUAAACUCGGUAAUUCUGGGUUUAUCGUUUCACAUGAAUAUUAAUAUUCGAAUAUUGAUUUGACGAUUUAAUUUGUCAUAUUAGGUUGUUUAUUCAUAUCCUGAGUUUAAUUAUUUUACUGCCAAGCUAACAGUGAAAUACUAUGUCUGAAUCUUAAGUUGAACUUGAAAGAGGUAAUUCUUGAUUGCAAUAGGAUUGAAUAGAGCGCAAUGUUGAACCUAGUCAUUGGGGAAUUGAUUUGCGAAUACGGAUAGAAAUAUAUCUAUUUGUCGUGCUUAGCCAAUUGUACAAGAGAUUGUCAAUGCGUUAUUUUUAUCUCUAAUGUCAUAGGAACAUAGGGUUUAGAAUAAAUUUAAUAGAUGAGUAGAAGUUGUCAAAUUUCUACGAGUAUUAUUGUCCUUGCAGAUUAAUAACCCGGAUAAAUUAAUAAGUCGAGUUGAUUGAAGAAUUCAACAGGACUGUUAUCCAACCAUGAUCUUGGAAUAUUAUUUCUCAUUGAAUUCAACUCUUCGUGAUAAGUGUGCUAGUUAAUUAGUUUUUCUUUUUAUUAAUAUUAUCAUCAGUAGAAUUAAUUAAACAGAAAUUAUCUUGAACUUAUUUUUAACUCGAUAAAUUAGAAAUUGCUUGAUUUAGUUGAUAAUUGACCAUAAGUUCUCAUGGGAACGAUACUCUACUCACACUUUAUUACUUGAUUGACCGUGUAUACUUGUGUGUGCGAUUUAGGCCAACAAGUUUUUGGCGUCGUUGCCGGGGACUUCGAAAUUAAUUGUUUUACUAAAUUAAGCUUUUACUACUCAUCGAGUUAUGUUUUUAAUCUUCUUGUGUUAGAAGCCAGGAUAGACUACAGGAUUUUGACCCAGAACCUGAGAGAGCAUUUCGUAGAAGGUUGAGAGAAGCUCGAGAAGCAAAUAAUCUACAAGCACUCAUUCAACUUCCUGUUGAAAUGAGAGAUGAACACCCAUUGGUAGUAUAAGAGGUGGCCAUGCCUGGCAUUGUUAAUGUCACCUCUAGUAUCGUUAAGCCUAGGAUCAUUGGACAUUUCGAGCUUAAGCGGAGCAUGAUCCAGGUACUUCAUGCAAAUGGACAGUUCAUGGGACUGCCACACGAGGACCCGCAACAACAUAUUCUGAAUUUUUUGGAGAUUAGUGAUACUUAUAUCACUAACGGGGUCACAUCUGAUUAUGUCAGGCUCACAUUGUUCCCUUUUUCUCUGUUGGGAGAGGACAAGAGAUGGUUGAAAUCUAAGCCAGAUAACUCUAUUGCUUCGUGGAAUAAUUUGGCUCGCAAAUUCUUGUCUAGGUUAUUUCCUACUGGUAAAACCGCAAAGAUAAGAAGUGAGACAGUUGCAUUUAAAUAUAGAGAAGGUGAAUCACUAUAUGCAACCUGGGAGAGAUUCAAGGGGCUACUAAGAGACUGGCUACACCAUAACCAAACCAACGAGGUACUGGCUCACACUUUUAUCAAAGGUCUUCACCCUGGAACAAAAAUAGUGGUAGACGCAGCAGCUGGUGGUCAAGUAUUAGAAAAGAACUUUGAUGAGAUUUAUGCGCUGCUGAACAAGUUUUCCAAAAGCAACCCAUAUUCACAAGGGGAAGCAGGUAGACACGCAUCCCUUAAAGAUACAGGGGUACUUGAAUUGGAUGUUGUUCAGCAUUAUCUGCACAAGUAGCAUCUUUAGCAAAUCAAAUCAGCAAGAUGAAUGUGGUUCAGAACCAACAACAGUUCCAACCAAUGCAAAAGGUCAACCAGUACAACAAGUGCAGGUGUUCUGUGAAGUCUGUGGCGAGGUCCAUACCAGUGAUGUCUGUUCAGUGAAUCCAGAAUCUGUUUACAUUGUGGGGAAUGCAAUAGAGGACAAAUAAAUCAAAAUCAAUUUGGUAAUACUUAUAAUCCUAAUUGGAGAAACCACCCAAAUUUCUCAUGGGGUGAAAAUCAAGGAGCUUAGACCACAAGGCCAGCACCAGAAUUUUUAGCCGCCGCAGGUUGUUCAAUCAGUAAAUCCUAUGGGUAAUAUUAAGGAGAUGCUAAGGAAAAUUAUGGCUGGUAAUCAAAAUCAAUCUACUGCUAUUCAAAAUCUAGAGCGACAAAUGGGGCAACUUGCCAGUGCUCAAAAUAAUCGGCCAGCUGGGGCUCUUCCUAAAGAUACUGAGCCUAACCCUAAAGCUCAAUUCAAUGCAUUUACCUUGAGAAAUGGAAGAGUAUUAGAAGAAGUUCCAAAUAAAAAGAAGUAUACAACUAGUCUUGAAGAAGAAUUAGUUUCCAAGACAGUUGAGGAGAAUGAGAAAGAGAGUGAAAGAUUAGAGACAGUAUUUGUGACAAGGCCACUUUCUCCGUUUUCACAAAGACUAUAGAAGCAAAAAGAUGAUGCUAAGUAUAAGAAAUUCUUAGAUAUUCUAAGCCAAGUGCAUGUGAAUUUGCAUUUGGUAGAAAUUUUGUAGGAAGUGCCUAAGUAUGCAAAGUAUCUAAAAGAUAUUGUGACAAACAAGCGAAGACAUACUGAGUUUGAAACAGUUGCACUUACGGAAGAGUGCAGUGCUAGAGUUGGAGUAAACUUCCUCCUAAGUUGAAGGAUCCUAGGAGUUUCACAAUUCCGCUGUCUAUUGGGAAAUAAGAAGUUGAUACAUCCCCCUAUUAUUUAGGGGCUAGUAUAAAUUUGAUGCCAUCAUCUUUGUUCAAGCAACUAGGAUUGGGGGCCCUUAGACUUACUACAAUCACCUUACAGUUGGCAGAUAUGUCACUAGUGAUGCUGGAAGGAAUUAUUGAGGAUGUGCUAGUGCGAGUCGGAAAGUUUAUUAUUCCUGUUGCUUUUUAUUAUUCUUGAUUAUGAGGCAGAUAAGGAAGUGCUCACUAUUUUGGGGUGGCCGUUCUUAGCUACUGAUGGAGCGAUUAUUGAUGUGAGGGAAGGAAAGUUGAAGAUGAGAGUUGAUGAUGAGGAAAUUAUUUUUAAUGUGUAUAAGGCACUUAAGCUCCCUACGCAUUAUGAGGACUUGUGCUUGAUUACUGUGGUGGAAUCGAAGGGGAUAAAGAAGAGUCCUUAUGUGAAUUGUAGUGAUCCAGGUGGGAAAACUGAGUUAAAGGAGGUAGUGUUGCAAGCUGAGUGUGUAAAGAUGAUUGAGAAAAGAGCCAGAGAUGAAAGAGGAGAUCUUACUAGAGCGUGCAAAAAGGCUAGACUUCAUGGGAGGAAGAAGAAGCGAAAGUGCCCAGCCUGAGCAGAGUAGUAGAGUCGCGCCACAACGUUAAAUCAUGCGCUUGUUGGGAGGCAACCCAUCAUGUUUUUUAUUUUUAUUAUUUUUAUUUUUAUAGUGUCACAUUUUAUUUUAUUUUUGUUUGUAGAUUAGGGGAAGUCUAAAUACCCGAAGUUGAAGAUGGGGAGUGUUCUCACCCAAGUCACACCUCAAAUUGGGGUUGUGAAGCGGUUGAUUGCAAUAAUAAUACCCAACCAGGAGUCGGGAUCGAAUCCACAUGGAGCGUAGAUAGGAUUAGUGGUAUGUAUUUGGUCUAAGCACGUGAAUUGUCUAAGUUGCACUUCCCCAAACUUUAUUUUGAUUUUACUUCUAAAAUUAUACUAAGGAUUGCAAUCGAAAAAUAUGAAACUAGAGAAGAAUGUUUUUGUUGUUGUUUUUCAAAUAUGUAAAAGGUCUAGGGUUGUGACCUCCACCUAGGUGUUUGCCUAAUGGGUUGUGGGCUUUAGAGCGAGUUUCGUUGGUCGAGGUGUAUUAUAGCAAUCAACACUCAAAUACCCAUCAAUACCUCUCGGUAAGAGAUUGGUUUUGCUCAAGUCCAAAUGUGUAUUGAACUAAACAGUUGGCAAAUUGCUCAAGUCGGAUUUUACUAUCUCUAGGUUUAACCCUUUUAUUUGGGACUAUCAAUCUCUUGAUUUCAUCCCAAACUCUUGUUAGCCAAGUUUUUCUAGACUAAGUCUCUCUUUCUCAAGUAGAGACCAAGUCAAAUAGGCUUGAACCAAUAUUUUCAACCAUUAAUUCUACAAUUAUAGCAAGAACUAGGCUAAAUAAUACGUACCCAACCAUAAACAAGCCCUAAAUCAACCACCCAUUAGGUUCCCACACUAGGGUUGGAUCACUACCCUAGCUAGAAAUUUAGCUACUCAUAGUGGGUAAUGAAGAAAAUAAAGAAGAAAGGAUGAUAGAACUCAUAUUGAAAAAUAAAUAGAUAAAAAUCCAAUAUAAAAUCAACAAGAUAAGCUACAGUUUCCUAAAAGGGUAAAGAAAAACGGCUGCAGACUUUCUGGUAUUCAAAACUUAACCUAAUUUCGUCAAAAAAGUCUAUUUAUACACAGCUGAAAUUUUCUGACAAAAUUGCCCUUUCGGAGGUUCUGCAGCCGCACAAUUCUGUGUGCGGUCCACUUUUUGCUUCUGCUCUUGACAGGAGUUGGAUUUGUGGCCGUACAAUUCUACAUUGCGGCCGCGUCUCUUGAGUUCUGCGGACCGCACAAUUCUGGGUGCGGCCGCACAUUUAAUUUUUGUGGCCGCACAAUUAUAGUGCGGUCCGCAGUUCUUGCUGGGCUUAGAGUUGAAACUCUCUGAACCUUAACUUUUGCGGCUGCACAAUUAUUGUUCGGUCCGCAUCUUACAUUGCAGCUUUGUUAAUUCUUCUUCAUGUUCUGCGGCCGCACACAGAAAUCUGCGGUCCGCACUUUAGCUUUUUGUGCUUGAUUUUUGUCCUUGUUCAAAAGCACUCCUCUUGAGUUUAAUUUCAUAGUAAUGGCUCAUUUUUCAAUACUCCUACAAGUAAGAAUAUUUUAUCAGUUUUUGGGAAUACCUUUAAAUACUUUUGAACUAAAACAAAAUCCAAAAUGCGCAAAUAAGUAGUCAAAAUCCCCACUUAUCAACUCCCCCAAACUUAAGCUUUUGCUUGUCCUCGAGCAAAUAAGGUAAUUUCUACCUCCACAAGAAAAGAGCUAUCCAGCUAAUCUAAAGUGAAGAAAAUACACAUCAAUUGGGACCAACAAUUACCUACAACACUUAUGAAUUAUCAACAAGGCAAUGAUUUGAAGUUUUAAGCACAAAUAGUUCUAAUGAGACACUUUAGCAUCAAGAGUUGACUUACUCAUCAAGGAAGUUCGCUCUUUCAUGUAGGUUACUGUGGAUCCCAAACUCCUCCUCCUCUACUCUCCGUUAGCUUAUCUCACUUAAGAAUGAAGCACUCAAUUCAAGGAUUUGUGAAAAGUUUGCGCAUCUCUCUCAAAAGAAUGUCACAAGUACAGAUCUAAGUACCAUAUGCUAGCCCCUCAUGUAAAUCACCACUAAUGUAAGAUCACUCGGCUUGAAAUCACGUAGGGAUUUUUCGGCAUGUAAUGAAGACUUUUGGACUAAGGUGGGAAAUGUUAGUGUAGAAGGGUUCAUCUUUCCUUAAGCACUCCAUUUUCUCUUUUUGGCUCAUGCUUUGCUGACUCUUUGAGUCAUUUUCUUUUUCCUUAGGGGAACUAGAGAGACUUGACAUCACUCUUUAUUGGUCAUGAUAUUCAUUUUUUCCUUCUUUGUUUCCUCCAUGCUUUGCACUUUUGCUUUUCUUUGAAUCCCUUCAACUCUUCAAUUUAUUCACUUUCUUUUUGUAUUUUUCUUUUGUUCUUUCUUUCUUUUUCUUUGCCUUGCCUUUUCUUUAUUUCUUAUCUCUUUUUGUACCUUGAUACUACUUUCAAACUCCUCGUCUCUCCCCCAAACUUAUAUUUUCGCCAAUUGCUUCUCAUGAGUGUUAAAGAAAGCUCGGGUGCCAGGAGAGGGUCACUACAAAACAGGUAAAGGCUUGUAACAUGAUUAUCAAAUGAGAAAGGCUUUAGGCUCAAAAGGGUUGACUAGGGAUAACAUUAUUGGUGGGCCAUGGACUGAGAGUGGUUGGGUACCCUGCCUCGGCCUCGGGAGGGUUCACCCCUCCCUUUGGAAGUAUCACCACGUCCACUUGAUCUAACCAUUUUCUGCAAUACAUAGCAACAUGAGUAAGUUAAAGUUCAAACACAGACUAUAAAAAAGUUGUAGACAAAACAAUGGGCAAGAGGGGGAAGUGUGGUCCGCACAAUUCUGAGUGCGGCCGCAGAAUGGCUUGUGCGGACCGCACAAUUUUGGAAGUGCAGUCGCACAAUUGAAGUGCGGUCAGCACAAUUCUGAGUGCGGCCGCACAAUUCAAGGCCCAGAAAUACCAAUUCUCUAAAGUUUUGAUCUGCGGCCACACACAUUUUUCUGCGACCGCAGUUUAGUUUCUGCGGACCGCAUAAUUUUGAGUGCGGUCCUCAUAAUCAAUGCACAGACUUUUCCCUCACCUAAAAUCUGCUUACCGCACAAUUUCUUGUGCGGCCGCACAAUUCAAAAUUGGACGGCACUGAACUUAGAUUGGUUUUUCAAUUUUUGCACAAUUUAGACAUGGUAUUGGCAAAUUAAACAUGAUACACGGUUUACCCAUCCCCCAAUUAACAAGUAUGAAGUUACCCAUACUAUUUUAAGCUUACAUAAUGAUUAAUUUUGACAUUUAGGCCGAAAACUAACUAAACAAAUAAAGAACAAAAAUUAAGAAAUUUGAAAGAAUCUAAACAUGAGUUGAACAUACCAGUAAUGAAUGAUGUAGGGAAGAAUCUAGGGUGAUGAAGUGAAUGCGAGAUGAUUGAAUCAAUUUGAGUGCACUGUGCUUGAUUUGGUGUAAACUAGUCAGAGUGUGUAAAGUUUUGAACAUCGGUAGAGGGUCACUAUUUAUAGUUGGCCGAUUUUAGGGCAAGGAUUAGCAGCUGAGUGCGGCCGCACAAUUUUGUGUGCGGUCUGCACUCUUUACCUGUCACUUACUUCACUCUUUGUCGAUCUGCGGUCCGCACAAUUCUGAGUGCGGCCAUAGAUUUUUGUGCGGCCGCAGAUCGGCCAUUUCUUUAUAAUUCAAACAUCAGAGAGUUUGCAAUUUUGUGAUCUCUAGUUGUGCGGCCGCAGGCUCCUUUCUGUUGUGGCCAUCAAGAUUGUGCGGUCCGCACGUUUUUCCACACUUAGCAUUUUUCCUGAGCACAGUUCCUGCAAAGCACACUCAUUCCUGCAAUAUACUUCAAAACCAGUUAGCACAAAACAAGACCUAUCUAAAAAACAAGAAAAAUAAAAAGAAACAUGGGUUGCCUCCCAAGAAGCACCUGAUUUAACGUCGCGGCACGAUGCAGAUUACCAUCAAUUACUUGAAAUAAAUCAAUGCCAUGACGUGGCAAUCAUCAACGUUUCCCAAAUAAUGCUUCACCCAGUGACCAUUGACUCUAAACACUUCAUCAUUUUUAUUCUUCAAGUCUAAUGCACCAAAGGGUGUCACACUCACAACCUCAAACGGGCCACUCUAUUUAGACUUCAACUUUCCCAAAAACAUCCGUAACCGAGAAUUGAACAAUAACACAAGAUCACCUUCUUUGAACUCUUGUUCCUAAUGUACUUGUCAUGGAGGUACUUCAUCUUCUCCUUGUAUAAGGAAGAACUUGUAUAUGCAUGGUACCGAAAUUCAUCAAGCUCAUUCAAUUGUGCCACCUUAAGUUGGCGGUGACAUCUCACUCAAGAUUUAGCUUCUUCAAUGCCCACAUAGCCUUGUGCUCAAGUUCCACUAGAAGGUGAAAAGCUUUUCCGAACACCAACCGGUAUGGAGACAUCCCAAUCGGUGUUUUGUAAGCCGUCCUAUAAGCCCAUAAAGCAUCAUGAAGUUUCUUUGACAAUCCGUCUGGUUGGCUUGCACUGUCUUUGACAAAAUACUCUUGAUCUCCCGGUUGGAGACUUCCAUUUGUCCGCUUGCUUGAGUGUGAUAGGGGUUCGUGACUUUGUGAGUGACACCAUACUUGGUGAGUAAGGUAUCAAAAGCUUUGUUGCAAAAGUGCGAUCCCCCAUCACUUAUAAUAGCCCUUGGAGUGCCAAAUCUUGUAAACAUGUUCUUUUUCAAAAAUGCCACCACACUUCGAGCUUCGUUGUUGGGUAGAGCAACGGCCUCAACCCACUUUGACACAUACUUCACAGCUACCAAAAUAUAGGUCUUCCCAUAAGAGCUUACGAACGGUCCCAUGAAAUCAAUGUCCCACACAUCAAAAAUGUCAAUUUCCAAGAUGGUGGUGAGGGGCAUCUCAUUUUUCUUAGAAAUCCCACCGGCCCUUUGACAUUCAUCACAAUGCUUGACUAGAUCACUUGCGUCCCUGUAGAGAGUAGGCCAAUAGAAUCCACAACUCAACACUUUCGCCGCCGUUAUCGCUCCACCAUGGUGACCAUCAUAUGAUGAAGCGUGUCAAGCACCAAGAAUUUCCACUUGUUCCUCCUCCAUCACACAUCUUUGAAUCACACCAUCGGUACAAAUUCGGAAGAGGUACGGUUCAUCCCAAUAGUAGUCAAGGCAAUCCCGUUUGAGUUUAUUCCUUUAGUUUGAAGAGAACUCAUUCGGUACAAUACCACUCACAAGAUAAUUUGCUAAGUCGGCGAACCAUGGCAUCUUGGUCAUUGAAAUGGCUAGAAGUUGCUCGUCAGGAAAGGAGUCAUUGAUUUCAAGGCUGUCAUGUGGCCUCCCCUCCUCCUCCAAGCGAGACAAGUAGUCCGCCACUUGGUUUUCACUGCCUUUGCGGUCUUGGAUUUUUAGAUCGAACUCUUGCAAUAAAAGCAUCCAUCUCAUUAACCGCGCCUUUGAAUAUUUCUUGCUCAUUAGGUACCGAAGCGCCGCAUGAUCCGUGUGGACAAUUACCUUUGUACCCAUCAAGUACGGGCGGAACUUCUCCAUAGCAAAAAUAAUAGAAAGGAGCUCUUUUUCGGUCACCGUGUAAUUGACUUGGGCAUCGUUUAUGGUCUUACUAGCAUAGUAGACCGGAUGGAAGAUUUUGUUGAUACAUUGCCCCAAAACUGCUCCGACCGCCACAUCACUUGCAUCAUACAUGAGCUCAGAAGGCAAGCUCCAAUCCGAUGCAGUGAUAAUAGGAGUAGUUGUCAAUUUGGACUUGAUCAAUUCAAAUGCCUUCAUGCAAUCCUCGUUGAAAUUGAAUUUGGCAUCUUUCUCCAAUAGCUUACACAAGGGGUUCACCACAUUGGAAAAAUCCUUGAUGAAACGGCGGUAGAACCCCACAUGACCCAAGAAACUCCUCACUCCCUCCAUGGAUGUUGGGGGUGGAAGUUUAGAAAUCACCUCUAUUUUGGCCUUGUCGACCUCAAUACCAUUCUUUGAAAUUUUGUGGCCAAGGACAAUGCCUUCCUCGACCAUGAAGUGACAUUUCUCCCAAUUGAGUACUAAGUUCGUCUCUUCACAUCUUGCCAAGACCUUAUCCAAAUUUUUCAAGCAAUCAUCAAAAGAAUUCUCGACCACUAAAAAGUCAUCCAUGAAGACCUCAAGGAAAUCCUCCACCAUGUCCAUGAAUAUAGCCAUUAUACACCAUUGAAAAGUCACCGGUGCAUUGCAUAAACUAAAUGGCAUCUGCGAGAAUGCAAAAGUACCAUAGGGACAUAUGAAAGUAGUCUUCUCUUGAUCCUCCGGAGCAAUAAGAAUUUGAUUGUAGCCGGAAUACCCAUCAAGGAAACAAUAGAAAGCAUGACCAGCCAACCUAUCAAGCAUUUAAUCAAGGAAGGGAAGUGAGAAAUGAUCCUUCCUUGUGACUUUAUUGAGCUUGCGAUAGUCCAUACACACUCUCCACCCGGUCACCGUUCUUGUCAUUGGUGACCACCAUCAUGCCCCCUUUAUUUGGGACAUAUUGCACCGGAGAGGUCUACGAACUAUUGGAAAUGGGGUAAACAACCCCGGCAUCCAACCACUUAUGAUCUCCUUUUUGACCACCUCUUGCAUUGCUUCAUUUAGUCUUCUUUGAUGUUCAACGGAGGGUUUGGAAUCCUCCUCCAAAAUAAUCUUGUGCAUGCAAAAGGCAGGGCUUAUACCCCGAAUACCCGCCAAUGUCCAUCAUAUAGCUUUCUUCCUCUUUUGGAGCACCGCCAAAGUAGAAUCUACCUGCAUGUUAGUCAAGCAAGAGGAAAGAAUAACUGGUAAAGUAGAACAUGGGCCAAGAAACUCAUACCUGAGAUGUGGAGGUAAUGGCUUUAACUCCAAAGUGGGAGGCUCCUCGAUUGAGGGCUUUAUUGGAGGAGUCUUCCGUUCUCAAGAUCUAAGGACAAUGUUUAAUGGUUCAUAAGUGUACGACCCCAUUCCUUGCAAUGCAUUUACACAUUCCACAUAGCCUUCCUUCUCAUCAUCAUCAUGAUUAAGCAAUACGGCUUCCAAAGUAUCAUCAACAUUCAUCACGGCACUAGCAUCAUCAACAAUCACUUCGGUCACUAAGUCCAUAAACGAACAAACUUCAUUGCUAUUCGGUUGCCUCAUAGAUUUGCACACAUGGAAAACCACCUUUUCAUCGCCCACCCGAAAGGUGAGCUCACUGGCUUCCACAUCAAAAAGAGCCUUCCCUGUAGCAAGGAAAGUUCUACCCAAGAUAAUAGGCACCUCAUAGUCCACUUCAAAAUCAAGAAUCACAAAGUUUACCGGAAGGAUAAACUUAUCAACACGAACCAACACAUCAUCAAUAAUACCCAAUGGUCUCUUCAUAGUACGAUCCGCCAUUUGUAGCCUUAUAGAUGUGGGUCUUGGUUGCCCAAUUCCCAAAGUUUUGAAAACCGAAUGGGGAAUCAAAUUGAUACUUGCCCAAAGAUCACAAAGAGCUUUUGCAAAGUCGGUGCUUCCAAUAGUACAAGGGAUUGUGAAAGCGCCGAGAUCUUCCAAUUUAGGAGCCAUUGAGUGCACAAUUACACUCACUUGAUGUGUCAUCUUUAUAGUCUCACAAUUCAUCAACCUCUUCUUUGUCACCAAAUCCUUCAUGAACUUUGCAUUACCGGGCAUUUGCUCCAAAGCCUCAACUAAUGACACAUUAAUAGAUAGGAUUUUCAUCAUGUCAAUGAACUUUUUGAAUUGGUUCUCGCCAUUUUGCUUGGCAAGCCUUUGAGGGUAUGGAGGAGAAGGCCUUAGCAUUGGUGCCUUAGCCUUUGGCACUAUGGUUCCGGUAUGUCUAAAAUGUGCUCCCUAGACGGGUUCACUUCCUCUUGAGUCUCCUCCACAUUGUCAUCAAUAUCAAUUCUUCCUUCAUCAUUGGCUUGCACCAAAUUAUUUGGAAUCUCAUCUUCUUUAAUCAUUUGUUCAUCAUCCACAAUUUUUCUUUGACUUGAGGUGGUUGCUUCCCCACAUUUUCCACUCCUUGUAUUCAUGGCCAUGGCAUGUCCCGGGUUGUUCCCACCCUUUGGGUUCACCAUCGUGUCACUUGGCAGUGCCCCCUUAGGACGAGUGUUCAAAGCUUGCGAUAUUUUCCCUAAUUGAACUUUCAAAUUGCGAAUUGAAGUGUUGUGAGAGGCUAGUUAAGCAUCGGAGUCGGCAUUCUUCUCCAUCAUUUGUUUGAACAUGUUCUCAAUUCGCCCCAUCUCAUUGUUGGAAGAGCUAGGACCAUGGGAAGGAUAAGGAGGCGGGUUGCUUGGUUGUUGAUACAUCAGGGGCCUUUGAAAAACCCGACCCAUGAUUCCCUUGGUUAUUGUUCCAUCCCCCUUGGUUAUUUCCUCCCCAAUAUCCUUGACUAUUGCCACUCCAAUUGCUUUGGUUAUUUUGAUCAUUCCAAUUUCCUUGAUUAUUCCAAUUCCCUUGGUUAUUUUGAUUGUUUCAAUUCCCUUGAUUACCAUGAGGUCGCCAUUGUUGUUGAUUAGGUCCUUGAGAGUUGUUUAUUUGCCCUUAGAAGUUAUUCACAUAUUGUACUUCCUCCUCUUGGUCAUUGCAAGAUUCAUCUUGAUCAAACCUACUAUCUUCUUGCACAUAAUGUUUCGUAUGGUUUUGCACUUUAGGACCCUUUUGCCUUCUCAUGUUUACCAUCAUAUUAACUCCCUCUAUUGCAUUUACUUUCUAAGGACCUUGCACUUGUUGAAGUUGGGCUUUGGGCAAUUGAUUCAUUAUAGUGGUCAACUCGGCAAUUGCUUGCCCAUGAUCAUGCAAUAUUUUAUGUAGGUGAAUCACAUUUGGAUCACCUUGAGGAACAUUUUCUCUACUUUGUCAUGCCGAUGAAGUAUCCGCCAUUUCAUCUAAGAUCUCACAAGCUUCGGCAUAUGGCGUUGUCAUGAAAUUUCCACCGGCAAGUUGGUUGACCACGCAUUGAUUGGUAGUAUUGAUCCCCCUGUAGAAAGUUUGUUAAAUCAUAGCCUCUGUCAUGUCAUUGUUUGGGCAUUCUUUCACUAUAGUUUGGUACCUUUCCCAUAUUUUAUGCAAGAAUCUAGUCUCUAAGAGUAGCCAUAUGUCCGGGAGAAUAGAACUUGGAAAUNNNNNNNNNNNNNNNNNNNNNNNNNNNNNNNNNNNNNNNNNNNNNNNNNNNNNNNNNNNNNNNNNNNNNNNNNNNNNNNNNNNNNNNNNNNNNNNNNNNNNNNNNNNNNNNNNNNNNNNNNNNNNNNNNNNNNNNNNNNNNNNNNNNNNNNNNNNNNNNNNNNNNNNNNNNNNNNNNNNNNNNNNNNNNNNNNNNNNNNNNNNNNNNNNNNNNNNNNNNGCCCUUGGAAGUUAUUCACAUAUUGUACUUCCUCCUCUUAGUUAUUGUUCCAUCCCCCUUGGUUGUUUUCUCCCCAAUAUCCUUGACUAUUGCCACCCCAAUUGCUUUGGUCGUUUUGACCAUUCCAAUUUCCUUGAUUAUUUUGAUUGUUCCAAUUACCUUGGUUGUUACCACCACUCCAAUUACCUUGGUUGUUUUAGCUCCAAUUCCCUUGAUUACCUUGAGAUCGCCAUUGUUGUUGAUUCGGGCCUUGAGAGUUGUUUCUUUGCCCUUGGAAGUUAUUCACAUAUUGUACUUCCUCCUCUUGUUCAUUGUAAGAUUCAUCUUGGUCAAACCCACUAUCUUCUUGCACAUAUUGUUCCGCACGAUUUUGCACUUGUUGACCCUUUUUCCUUCUCUUGUUUACCAUCAUAUUGACACCCUUCAUUGCAUUUACUUUCUUAGGACCUUGAACUUGUUGGAGUUGAGCUUUGGCUAAUUGAUUCAUUGUAGUGGUCAACUCAAAAAUUGCUUGCCCAUGAUCAUGCAAUUCUUUAUGUAGGUGAAUCACAUUUGGAUCACCUUGAGGAAUAUUUUCUCUACUUUGCCAUGCCGAUGAAGUAUCCGCUAUUUCAUCUAAGAUCUCACAAGCUUCGGCAUAUGGUGUUGUCAUGAAAUUUCCACCGACAAGUUGGUUGACCACGCAUUGAUUGGUAGUAUUGAUCCCCCUAUAGAAAGUUUGUUGAAUCAUAGCCUUUGUCAUGUCAUUGUUCGGUCACUCUUUCACCAUAGUUCGGUACCUCUCUCAUAUCUCAUACAAAGGCUUAUUGGGUUUUUGUUUGAAUGCUAGAAUCUCGUCUCUAACAGUAUCCAUAUACCCGGGAGAUGGAUGGAAUGGUUUGGCAGCCUUUCUAACCAAUCCAAGGCUUUCCCUCGUAAAGAGAAGGGAAAUAGCCUCAACCUUAGAGCAUCCUCGGAGACGUUGGUCUGUUUACUCCCCCCAACAAGUGUCCACAAACCCCUUCAAGUGUUUGUAUGCAUUUUGACUCGGAGCCCCGGUGAAGAAUUCCCAUUGCUCUAGCAAUGUGAGCAUGACAUUUGUGAUCUGGAAGUUGCCUGCCCUAAUGCGGGGCGGGACUAUGGCACUUACAUACCCUUCAUUCAGCAACACCCGGUGUGGAGACACUCUUGGUGGAGGUGGGGGUGGAACGAAAACGUUGUCUUGAGGCGGUCGGCCUUGUCUAUUUGCUUGAGGUUCAAGAGGAACCUCUUCAACUUGGUCAUCUUCCACGUCCACAUCCCCCAAAGGCAUGUUUCCGAGAGGAUCAUUGUUGUUGAGAGCCAUUGUUUCACCUAUAAUUAUUUCACCAAAAAGAUUAUUAACGCGGAAGGAAAAGAAGACAAUUCACACACAAAACCAAAUAUAUAGCUAAAUCCGUUUUUAUGCUCCCCGGCAACGGCGCCAAAAAUUGAUCUCGCCCAAGUCACACCUCAAAUUGGGGUUGUAAAGCGGUCAAUUGCAAUAAUAAUACCCAACUAGGAGUCGGGAUCGAAUCCAUAGGGAGCGUAGAUGGGAUAAGUGGUAUGUAUUUGGUCUAAGCACGUGAAUUAUCUAAGUUGCACUUACACAAACUUUGUUUUGAUUUUACUUCUAAAAUUACACUAAGGAUUGCAAUUGAAAAAUAUGAAACUAGAGAAGAAUGUUUUUGUUGUUGUUUUUCAAAUAUGUAAAAGGUCUAGGGUUGUGACUUCCACCUAGGUGUUUGCCUAAUGGGUUGUGGGCUUUAGAGCGAGUUUCGUUGGUCGGGGUGUAUUAUAGCAAUCAACACUGAAAUACCCACUCAAUACCUAUCGGUAAGAGAGUGGUUUUGCCCAAUUUGGCUUUUUCAAGUCCAAAUGGGUAUUGAACUAAACAGUUGAUAAAUUAUUCAAGACGGGUUUUACUAUCUCUAGGUUCAACCCUUUAAUUGGGACUAUCAAUCUCUUGAUUUCAUCCCAAACUCUUGUUAGCCAAGUUUUCCUAGACUAAGUCUCUCUUUCUCAAGUAGAGACCAAGUCAAAUAGGCUUGAACCAAUGUUUGCAACCAUUAAUUCUAAAAAUAUAGCAAGAACUAGGCUAAAUAAUACACACCGAACUAUAAACAAGCCCUAAAUAAAACACCCAUUAGGUUCCCACACUAGGGUUGGGUCACAACCCUAGCUAGAAAUUUAGUUACUCAUAGUGGGUAAUAAAGAAAAUAAAGAAGAAAAGAUGAUAAAAAUCAUAUUGAAAAAUAAAUACAUGAAAAUCCAAUGUAAAAUCAACAAGAUAAGCUAAAGUUUCCUAAAAGAGUAAAGAAAAAUGGCUACAGACUUUAUAAUAUUCAAAACUUAACCUAAUUUCGUCAAAAGGUCUAUUUAUACACAUCUGAAAUUUUCUGACAAAAUUGCCCUUUCAGAGGUUCUGCGGCCGCAUAAUUUUGUCUGCGGUCCGUGAUAAGUAGGGAUUUUGACCACUUAUUUGAACUCUUUUACAUUCGUUUUAGCUCAAAAAUGCUUAAAGGUAUUCCCGAGAACUAAUGAAAUGUGCUUUCUUGCAGAAAUAUUGGGAAAUGAGCUAAAGAGAUGAAAAUCAACUCAAGAAGGAGUAAAAUUGGACAAGGACCAAAACAAAGCAUAAAAGAGCAAAGUGCGGACCACACAAUACUGUGUGCGGCCGCAGACUAUAAAGAACCACUGACAAAUUCCCUUCGCAAAGUGCAGACCGCACAAUUAUUGUGCCGCCGCAGAAGACGAGUUUCAGAGAGAUGGUGUUUUGGGUCCCUGAAGAAGUGCGGACCGCACUAUUAUUAUGCGGCCGCAGAAUGCAAAGGUACGGCCACACUCAUAAAUGUACGGUCCGCAGAAAUCUCCCAUGUCCAGCUCAAGUCCAAGAGUGUGGCCGCACUCAGAAAUGUACGGUCCGCAAAAUCUGAAGAAGUGCGGUCGCACCCCAGAAUUGUGCGGCCGCAGAAGUCCAUCCUGUCAAGCUAGCUUCAAAGUGCGGACCGCACACAUAAUUGUGCGGCCGCACAACCUUCGCAGUGGCAAUUUUGUCCGAUAAUUUCAGUUGGGUAUAAAUAGAUCUUUUUGUCAAAUUUAGGUUAAGUUUGAAAGCCUGAAAGUAGAUAGCCAUUUUUUCCUUACUGUUUUGGGUAACUUUGUAAUAGUUUAUCAUUUUAACAUUAGAUUUUCUUUCCUUAAUCAUCUAUUAUGAGUUUAAUCUUAGUUUCUUCUUUAGUUCCUUCAAUGUUUCCUAUGAGUAGCUAAAUUCUUUUCUAGUGUUGUGACCCAACCCUAGUGUGGGUGCCUAAUGGGUGUUUAAUCUGGGGCUUGUUUGUGAUUGGGUGUAUGAUAUUUAGCCUAGUUAUUGCUUGAAUUUAAGAAUUAAUGGUUGCAAAGAUUGAUUCAGGCCUAAUUGACCUAGUCUCUACUUGAGAAAGAGAGACUAAGUCUAGGAAAACUUGGCUAACAAGGAAUUGGGGUGAACUCAAGAAAUUGAUAGCCUCAAUUAAAGGGUCAAAUCUAGAGAUAGUAAGACCCGACUUGAGCAUCUAUCAUUAGUUUUGUGAAUUGCCCAUUUGGAUUUGUGAAAGCCAAAUUAGGCAAAACCACUCAAACUACAGAGAGGUAUAGAGUGUGUAAUUGCGUGUGAUUGCUAUAUUACACCCCGAUCAAUCAAACCUGCCCUAAAACCCACAAUUCAUUAGGUAACCACCUAGGUGGAAGUCGCGACCCUAGAUCUUUUAUCAACUUGAAAAGCAACAAUACCAAAAAUAUCGUUCCUUAGCUUUUCAUUUACAAACAAUAGUAUACUUUUUAGAAGUAGGAAGAAAUAACCAAUUAUGUGGAAGUGCAAUUUGGGCACGUCAUACACCUAGUCUAGAUAUAUACCUAAUCCAAUAUAAUCUCUUUGUGGAAUUGACCCCGACUCACGUUGGGUAAUUAUAAUUGUAUCGACCGCUUUACAAUUCCAAUCAGUGGUGUGAAUUUGGGCGACAUCAAUUUUUGGCGCCGUUGCCAGUGAGCUAAACACGGAUUUAGCUAUAUAUUUGGUUUUGUGUGUGACUUGUCUUCUUUUCCUUCCGGGUUACUAACUAUUUUGUGAAUUGAUUAUAGGUACAAAAAUGGUUCUCAACAAUGAUCCUCUCGGAAAUUUGCCUUUGGGGGAGGAAGUGGACGAUGACCAAGGUGAUGAGGUUGCUCUUGAACCUCAAGCAACUAGGUGAGGCCGACUGCCUCAUGACAAUAUUCUCGUCCCUCCCCCACCUCCACCAAGAGCAGCUCCACACCGGGUGUUACCAAAUGAAGGAUACGCAAGUGCCAUAGUCUCGCCCCGCAUUAGGGCGAGAAACUUCCAAAUCACCAAUGUUAUGCUCACAUUGCUAGAGCAACAGGGAUUCUUCACCGGGGCUCUGAGUCAAAAUGCAUACAAACACUUGAACGGGUUUGUGGACACUUGAUGGGGGAGUAAAUAUACCAACGUCUCUGAGGAUGCUCUAAGGUUGAGGCUAUUUCCCUUCUCUCUAUGGGGAAAAGCCUUGGAUUGGUUAGAAAUAUUGUCAAACCAUUCCAUCCAUACAUGGGAUGAAUUGGCGGAAAAAUUCAUUGCCAAGUUCUUUUCUCCCGGGCAUAUGGCUACUCUUUGGGAUGAGAUUCUAGCAUUCAAGCAAGAACCCAAUGAGCCUUUCACGAGAUUUGGGAGAGGUACCGUACCAUGGUAAAAGAGUGCCUGAAUAAUGAUAUGACUGAGGCAAUGAUUCAACAAACCUUCUACCGGGGGAUCAACACUACCAAUCAAUGCGUGAUCAACCAACUUGUCGGUGGAAAUUUCAUGACAACGCCAUAUGCUGAAGCUUGUGAAAUCUUGGAUGAAAUGGCAGAUACUUCAUCGACAUGGCAAAGUAGAGCUAAUGUUCCUCAAGGUGAUCCAAAUGUGAUUCACCUACAUAAGGAAUUGCAUGAUCAUGGGCAAGCAAUUUCCGGGUUGACGACCAUAAUGAAUCAAUUAGCCAAAGCUCAACUUCAACAAGUUCAAGGUCCUAAGAAAGUGAAUACGUGAGUAUAAUCGUGAACAAAAGAAGGCAAAAUGGUCAACAAGUACAAAACCGUGUGGAACACUUUGUGCAAGAUGAUAGUGGGUUUGACCAAGAUGAAUCAUACAAUGAGCAAGUGGAAGAAGUGCAAUAUGUGAACAACUAUCAAGGGCAAAGAAACAAUUCUCAAGGCCCGAGUCAACAACAAUGGUGUUCUCAAGGAAACCAAGGAAAUUGGAACAAUCAAAACCACCAAGACAAUUGGAGUGAUGUAACAACAAUCAAUAUAAUUGGAACAAUAACAAUAAUCAAGGCAAUUGGAAUAACUAAGGCAACUAAGGCAACUGGGGUGGCAACAAUCAAGAAUACUUUGGAGGCAACAACCAAGGGGGUUGGAAUAAUAACCAAGGGAAUCGGGGGUCGGGCUUUCAAAGGCCCUCGAUGUAUCAACAACCAAGCAACCCGCCUCCUUAUCCGUCCCAUGGUUUUAGCUCUACCAAUAAUGAGAUGGGACGGAUUGAAAAUAUGUUCAAACAAAUGAUGGAGAAAAAUGCCGACUCCGAUGCUCAACUAGCCUCUCACAACACUUCAAUCCGAAAUUUGGAGGUUCAAUUAGGGCAAAUCUCGCAAGCUUUAAACACUUGUACUAAGGGGGCACUACCUAGUGACACGGUGGUGAACCCGAAGGGUGGGAAAAACACGGGACCUGCCAUGGCCAUAACCACACGGAGUGGAAAAGGUGGGGAGGCAACAACCUCAAACCAAAGAAGAGUUAUGGAUGAUGAUGUAGUGAUUCAAGAAGAUGAAAUUCCAAGCAAUGUGGUUCAAGCUAGUGAAUAAGUGAGAAUUGAGAUUGAUGAAAAUAUGGAGGAGACCCAAGAAGAAGUAAACCCAUCUAGGGAACACGUGAUUGACAUACCGGAACCGGUAGUGCCAAAGGCCAAGGCACCAAUACCGAAGGCCUCCUCCUCCAUACCCUCAAAGGAUCGCCAAGCAAAAUAGCGAGAACCAAUUCAUGNNNNNNNNNNNNNNNNNNNNNNNNNAAUCGAGGAGCCUCCCACUUUGGAGUUAAAGCCAUUACCUCCAUAUCUCAGGUAUGAGUUUCUUGGCCCAUGUUCUACUUUACCAAUUAUUCUUUCCUCUUGCUUGACUAAGAUGCAUGUAGAUUCUACUUUGGCGGUGCUCCAAAAGAGGAAGAAAGUUAUAGGAUGGACAUUGGCGGAUAUUCGGGGUAUAAGCCCCGCCUUUUGCAUGCACAAGAUUAUUUUGGAGGAGGAUGCCAAACCAUCUGUUGAACAUCAAAGAAGACUAAAUGAAGCAAUGCAAGAGGUGGUCAAAAAUGAGAUCGUAAAGUGGUUGGAUGCCGGGGUUGUUUACCCCAUUUCCAAUAGUUUGUAGACCUCUCUGGUGCAAUGUGUCCCAAAUAAAGGGGGCAUGAUGGUGGUCACCAAUGACAAGAACGAGUUGAUUCCUACAAGAACGGUGAUCGGGUGGAGAGUGUGUAUGGACUAUCGCAAGCUCAACAAAGUCACUCGGAAAGAUCAUUUCCCGCCUCUAUUCCUUGAUCAAAUGUUUGAUAGGUUGGCCGGUUGAGCUUUCUAUUGUUUCCUCGAUGGAUAUUACGGUUACAAUCAAAUGCUUAUUGCUCCGGAGGACCAAGAGAAUACUACUUUCACUUGUCCCUAUUGUACUUUUGCAUUCUCACGGAUUCCAUUUGGGUUAUGCAAUGCACCGGCAACUUUUCAACGGUGUAUGAUGGCCAUCUUCACCGACAUGGUGGAGGACUUUCUUGAGGUCUUCAUGGAUGACCUUUUCGUGGUCGGGAACUCUUUUGAUGAUUGCUUGAACAACUUGGAUAAGGUCUUGGCAAGAUGUGAGGAAACAAAGUUGGUUUUGAAUUGGGAGAAGUGUCACUUCAUGGUCGAGGAAGGCAUUGUCUUCGGCCACAAAAUUUCAAACCAUGGUAUUGAGGUCGACAAGGCCAAAAUAGAGGUGAUCUCUAAACUCCCACCCCCUACAUCCGUGAAGGGAGUGAGUUCUUGGGUCAUGCGGGGUUCUAUCGCCGAUUCAUCAAGGACUUUUCUAAGGUGGUAAAUCCCUUGUGUAAAUUUUUGGAGAAGGAUGCCAAGUUCCAUUUCAAUGAGGAUUGUAUGAAGGCAUUCGAAUUGCUCAAGUUCAAAUUGACUACUACUCUUAUUAUCACCGCACCGGAUUGGAGCUUGCCUUUUGAGCUUAUGUGUGAUGCAAGUGAUGUGGCGGUUGGAGCAGUGUUGGGGCAACGUAUCGACAAAAUCUUCCAUCCGGUCUACUACACACUUGUCACGACCCAAAAUCCUAACUUGUCGUGAUGGCGUCUAUCUCAGUACUAGGCAAGCCGACAACAUCAAUAGCCCAUAAUUUCCUUUAAGUUUGAAAACAUAAUGCUUAAUACAAUAACAAAAAUCUAGCAAAUUCCGAUACAAACAUUCCCAAAACUUAAUGUCACUGAGUACAUGAGCAUCUAUGCAUUACAAGCCUAGAAAACACGGUCUAUAAUAGUCUAAGACCAAAUACAGUAAACAAGAGAUAGGGAAGGAGAGACAAGGUCUGCGAAACACAACAGCUACCUCUGAAUCUCCGAAAAAUCAACCGUGCAAAAGAAUCAACACCCACUAUGUCCAGGAUCACCUGGAUCUGCACACAAAGUGCAUGGUGUAGUAUGAGUACAACCAACUCAGUAAGUAACAAUAAUAAAUAAAGAACUGAAAGUAGUGACGAGCUUCUCAGCUAAGUCCAAAUACAGUACUUUCCAAUAUAAAAGAGUAGGCAUGCUCUCAAGUUCAAUAUUUAAGAUUUCACUGAAAUUUCAUAUCAAGUUUGACCGAAACAGAAAAUAAUAUUUUUUCGAAAUUUCCAAAAUAGUGAUAUAUGACAACUGAAAUGAAGAAAAGAAUGAAAUCAAUGCAUCCUCACAGAGUAACAGUCACUCAGUCCUCCCAUUUACUCCAACCUCACAGUCACUCUUUCCUCACAGUCACUCAUCACUCGGCACUCGCACUCAGUAGGUACCUGUGCUCACUGGGGAUGUGUACAGACUCCGGAGGGUCUCCUUCAGCCCAAGCGCUAUAACAAGCCAAUCGUGGCAUAAAUCAACAAAGCAUGUUGCGGCGUGCAGCCCGAUCCCAUAAAUAUCCUCACAAUUAGGCCCUCGGCCUCACUCAGUCAUCAACCUCUCCAGUCUCUCGGGCUCUUAGAAAUCAUGAUGAGCAGCCAAACAACAAUGAUAUGAUGCAUCAAUAAUGAACAAUAGAGACUGAUAUGUAAUAUGCAAGUAAAACCGUGACCGAGUACAAAAUAGUAAUUUAACAGAUAAUUCAACUUGUACACGACCUCUGUGGGUCCCAACAGUGUCAACACAUGGUUUAAACAUAAUUUAUAGUUCAAUUUCCCUAAUACGUGAAACAAUAUAUGGGUAGCAAUAAUUUAUUCAACAACACAGAUCCAUGGAAUUGACCAAGUCAUAAUUCUUACGAUGCAUGCCCACACGCCUGUCACCUAGCAUGUGCGUCACCUCAAAACCAAUCACAUAUCACAGAAUCCGGGGUUUCAUACCCUCGGGACCAAAUUUAGAACUGUUACUUACCUCAAUCUGAGCAAUUCCUUAUUCCAAUAAGUCUUUUCCUCGCGAUUCGGCCUCCAAAUGCCUCGAAUCUUAGUCAAAAUAAUUCGAUGCAAUCAACACGAGGUAUAGGAAUCAAUUCUAUAUGAAAAUGCUACAUUUUACAAAUAAAUCCGAAAUUAACUAUCAACAAUGGAGCCCACGUCUCGGAACCUGACAAAAGUUAUAAAUAUGAAUGCACAUUCAACCACGAGUCCAACCAUAAAAAAUUACUAAAUGCCGACUCUGAUUCAGCCUUCAAACCCUCAAAUCAAUUUUUAGAAAAUUUCUAUUCUAAUCCCCCAAAUCACGAAAUAAGUGCUGGAAAUAAUUUUAGAUUCAUGAAUAACGGACCAAAUAAAGUUAAGAUCACUUACCCCAGUCCAAUUUGUGAAGUUUGCCUCUGAAAUCGCCCAAACCGAGCUCCCCAACUAUUUUUAUGUCAAAAAUUGCCAAAAACUCUGUUUAUAGAGCCUCUGACGUUUUCGAGUGCCACAGGUAGUGUGGGGCACUGGCUGUGGCACAAUUUUCAGUAUCCCAAAAAUUCCCAGCGCCCCACGCUACCCUGGGCGCUGGCGGUGACGGAAAUUCAUUCCCAACACGGAAAUGGGUACAACUCUCUCAUACGAUAUCUGAAUUCGACGAUUCUUUUUGGUAUGGCUCCGAAAGUUCAAUAUGGAUCUAAUUAUUCAAUCAAAUCUGAAUUUGGAGCUCAUUUUAUUAAUGUUAUACCACUUAUUCUCAAAGAAACAACGUUAGAACAUUAUACAUUCGAUGCCAAAACCUAGAAAAUCAAGUCCGAUUGACCAAAAAAUUUGCACACAAGUCAUAAAUGACAUAAUGGAGGUAUUUCAAUUAUCAGAAUUGUAUUCCGGCCCCGAUAUCAAAAAUUAAACUCCCCGGUCAAACUUCAAAUUUAAAUUUCUAUUUUAGCCAUUUCAAGCCUAAUUUAACUACAGACUUCCAAAUAAUUUUUCGGACACGUUCCUAAGUCCAAAAUCACCAUACGGAACUAUUGAAAUCAUCAAAACUCUAUUCCGGGGUCAUUUACUCAAAAGUCAAAGUUUGGUCAACUCUUCCAACUUAAAGCUUCCAAAUUUAAAAUUUUCUUUCCAAAUCAACUCCGAACUUCCCGAAAUUUAAUUUCGACCAUACGUAUAAGUCAUAACACAUGAAAUGAAGCUACUCAAGGAUUUAAACCGCUAAAUAAUGUGUUAGGGCUCAAAACGACCGAUCGGGUCGUUACAACAGUAACCGAAAAAGAGCUCCUUGCUAUUGUCUUUGCUAUGGAAAAGUUUCGCCCGUACUUGAUGGGUACAAAGGUGAUUGUCCAUACCGAUCAUGCGUCGCUUCAAUAUUUGAUGAGCAAGAAAGAUUCAAAGGCAAGGUUAAUGCGGUGGGUGCUUCUAUUGCAAGAGUUUAAUCUAGAGAUUCAAGACCGCAAGGGUAGUGAAAACCAAGUGGCGGACCACUUAUCUCGUUUGGAGGAGGAGGGGAGGCCACAUUACGGCCUUGAGAUAAAUGAUUCCUUCCCCGACGAGCAGCUUCUAGCCAUUUCAAUGACCGGGAUGCCAUGGUUCGCCGACUUAGCCAAUUAUCUUGUGAGUGGUAUUGUACCGAAUGAGUUCUCUUAAAACCAAAGGAAGAAGCUCAAACGGGAUUGCCUUGACUAUUAUUGAGAUGAAUCGUAUCUCUUCCAGAUUUGUACUGAUGGUGUGAUUCGACGAUGUGUACCGGAGGAGGAACACGUGGAAAUUCUUGAGGCUUGCCACUCUUCACCAUAUGGUGGUCACCAUGGGGGAGCUAGAAAAGCAACAAAAGUGUUGAGUUGUGGAUUCUAUUGGCCUACUCUUUACAAGGACGCUAGCGAUCUCGUCAUGAGUUGUGAUGAAUGUCAAAGGGCCAGUGGGAUUUCAAAGAAAAAUGAGAUGCCCCUCACCACCAUCUUGGAGAUUGACAUUUUUGAUGUAUGGGGCAUUUAUUUCAUGGGUCCGUUCGUGAGCUCUUGUGGGAACACUUAUAUUUUGGUAGCGGUGGAUUAUGUGUCAAAGUGGGUUGAAGUCAUGGCUUUACCCAACAAUGAAGCUCGAAGUGUGGUGGCAUUUUUAAAAAAGAACAUAUUCACAAGAUUCGGUACUCCAAGGGCCAUUAUUAGUGAUGGGGGAUCGCACUUUUGCAACAAAGCUUUUGAUACCUUACUCACAAAGUAUGGUGUCACUCACAAAGUGUCGACCCCCUAUCAUCCUCAAGCAAGCGGGCAAGUGAAAGUCUACAACCGGGAGAUCAAGAGUAUUUUGUCAAAGACAGUGAAUGCCAACCAGACGGAUUGGUCAAAGAAACUUGAUGAUGCUCUUUGGGCUUAUAGGACGACUUACAAAAUACUGAUUGGUAUGUCUCGGUACCGGUUAGUGUUCGAAAAAGCUUGUCACCUUCCGGUGGAACUUGAGCACAAAGCUAUGUGGGCAUUGAAGAAGCUUAAUCUUGAAUGGGAUGUCGCCACCAACUUGAGGGUGGCACAAUUGAAUGAGCUUGAUGAAUUCCGGUACCAUGCAUAUUUAAGUUCGUCCUUAUAUAAGGACAAGAUGAAGUACCUCCAUGACAAGUACAUCCAGAAUAAGGAGUUCAAAUAAGGUGAUCUUGUGUUAUUGUUCAAUUCUCGGUUAUGAAUAUUUUCGGGAAAGUUGAAGUCUACGUGGAGUGGUCCAUUUGAGGUUGUGCAUGUGACACCCUUCGGUGCAUUGGACUUGAAAAAUAAAAAUGAUGAAGUGUUUAGAGUCAAUGGUCACCGGGUGAAGUAUUAUCUUGGCAAAGUUGAUGAUGGCCACGUCGUGGCGUUAAUUCAUUUCAAGUGAUUGAUGGUAAUCUGCAUCAUGCCGCGACGUUAAAUCAGGCACUUGUUGGGAGGCAACCCAUGUUUCUUUUCAUUUUUCAUUUUCUUCUUUGUUAGAUAAGUUUUGUUUUGAGCUAACUCGUUUUGAAGUGAAUUUCAGGAAUGAGUGUGCAUUGCAGGGACUGUGUUCGAAAAAUUUGGUCUAGUGUUGAACAAAGUCCGGACAACACAAUAAUGAAUGCAACUGCAGAAAGGAUUCUGCGGCCGCACAAUUCUUUGUGCGUCCGCACAACUGGAGAUCCAAAAUAUGAACUCUCUAAAGUUUUGAGUUGCAGAGAGUAGGCCAUUCUGCGGCCGCACUCACUUUUGUGUGGACCGCAGAAUCUCAGCAAAGGUCCAGGUAAAGAGUGCGGGCCGCACUCAACUCAACUUUUGACUGACUUGGUCAAACUAUAAAUAGGUCCUUUGAGCACUAUUCAUAACUUUACACACUCUAAGUUCUUGAGACCUAAGCAAACACAGUGCACCACAAAAUAGCUCACACUCCAUACUCAUUUCAUCAAGUUUAGAUUCUCACCUGCAUCCUUCAUCACUGGUAUGUUCAAUCCAUGUUAGAUUUUUCCAUUUUUCUUAAUUUUUGUUCUUGAUUAGUAUAGUUAUUUGUAGGCCUAAAAUGUCAAAUGUUAUUCAUGUGUGCUUAAAAUCAUGUAUAGUUAUUUGUAGGCCUAAAAUGUCAAAUGUUAUUCAUGUGUGCUUAAAAUCAUGUGGGUUAUAUCAUGUGUAUUCAUUGGGGACUGGGUAGAUCAUUAAUCAUGUUUAUUUGCAAAUAUCAUGUCUAAAUUGUGCAAAAAUUGCAAAACCUAACGUCAGUGCCGCUUAAUUUCAAAUUGUGCGGUCGCACACAAAAUUGUGCGGUCCGCAGAUCUUAAAUUAGGACAAAUGUGUUGCAUAAAAAGUGCGGACAACACUCAAAAUUAUGCGGUUCGCAGAAAAAUUAUGCGGCCGCAGAAAAAUGUAUGCGUUCGCACUUGGGAACUUCAGAGAACUAGUGUUCUGAACUUGGGAAUGUGCGGCCACACUCAAAAUUAUGCGGUCCGCACUUUAGGAUGUGCGACCGCACUUUGAAAUUGUGCGAUUCGCACUGUCUCUUCUGUAGACUGUUUUCCUGGAACUGUAAUGCAAUUGUUUACACUGUUUUGAACUCUUACUGACUUAUGUGCCUUGUAUUGCAGACAAUGGUUCGGUCACGAGGUAGAGGCGAUACAUCUAAAGGGAGAGGUGAACCCUCCCGAGGUCGAGGAAAGGGCACUCACCCACUGGGAGUGCAAUCAAAAGCCAUCACCAAAAAGCCAACUACUGGGAGAGGUAGGGCCACAGAGCCCUCAGAAUCUAGUUCAUAUACCCCGUCUAGGGAAGCCUCCGAGAUUCAUUCAGUAGAGGCACAGCCUGAGGCCCAGUCCCAACCACCACAAACCACUAGGAGAUAUCAAUUGCGCAACGAACCCUCCACUACAGCAAGUUCUUCUGAGGGUUUUGAUGCUGGUAGCCAGGGUUCAGAGCCCUCUUCUACACACACUCCCUUUGCACCAGUUGCAGUAGAUUACGAUGACGUUCCUGAUGAUGGUAGGGGAGGUGACACUAGAGUGGGUGGACUAGAGAGGUCAAAGAAGAAGGAAGCAUGGGAAGAUAGGUUUGUGAGUUUGGCUGCCUUCACAAUGUUUAGAGAGUGGUGGCCUCAGAGAUCGCUCACACUUGAGCGACAAUUCUUGCUAAAGGAUUUGGAUAAAUACAACCCAAAUGUCCUUAAGCAGUUCAGGGAGCGCAAGGAGUGGAUGUGUUUCACCAAGAGUGUUAUGGAUGCCAAAGAGCACUUGGUACGGGAGUUUUAUGCUAAUAUGGCACACAUCAAGAAGGGUACCAAAGUGACCAAAGUGAGAAAUUUGAAAGUCAAAUUCAUCCAAGCACUCUGAACACUUACCUGGGAUUCGAGGAGGUAGAGGCAAUCUAGUACUUGGAGAAGAUUGCUAUGGGUGAUGCAGCUCGCCCUUGGUUAGCAGAGAUUUUGGUUGCUCCAGGGCCGCUACCACCGUGGAUCACAGAAGGGAUUCCUAUCACACGGGCUCCCUAAAUUUUGAAGCAAAAGGGUGGCAAACAUUUGUAUACAGUCGUAUUAAUCCAAGCUUGAAUGAGAACAAUCUUCCAAUUCCCCGCACAGUUCUGGUGGCAUCUAUUAUGGCCGGGUACCCAAUCAAUGUGGGUGCCAUCAUGUCGGCCAACAUGACAGUGGCUGUCCGAAAAGGUGAAAGCUCCUACCCAUAUCCCAACACCCUCACAGAAUAUCUCAUGGAUGCAAAGGUGGAGCCGAGGAGUUUUGAUACAAAAGUGCGGGCCAAGAAGCCCUUUUCAUGGUACUCCUUGCAAGGUCCAGGAAACCCGAAGUUCAAGGGUAAGGCAACUGCCACCGUUGGCCAGUCUGAUGAGCCAUCGGUGGUGGUUACAGAUUCUGUUGCUGAGCCAUCUACAACUCACAUGCCUUCCACAGCGACCGGUCCUUCCACCGAGAUAGAUGACAUGCCACCAUCUUCAUCUUCUAGACCAUCAGCGUCAGUACCAGUGCCUGCCUCAUCCACAUAUUCACUCAUUGCGCUACGAGUCUCCCAGACAUUGGUGAGUCUCAACAACUGGAUGCAGAUAGCUAUUUCAAAGCUGUCUGACAUAUCCAGUAUUGUUGUAGCACAGUCUUCUACACCAGCAGCACCACAGGUUCCUCCGUCAGUGGAGGAAACAUUGAAGAAGAUCCUGGAUAACCAGAAGACCAUUAUAGGUACAUUGGUGGCACAUGGGGGAGCUAUUGAGGUGUUGGACAAUCAGGUAAAGAAGAUGAGGAAAUCCCAGGCUUCAAAGAAAUCAGUGGAGAGAUUAAUAAGAGAGGUGACAAAGAUUACAACAACGGGUGAUUUGCCAUUUAACCUACUGAUGGAGACAGAUCCAUCAGUACCAGCAGACCCAACAACACCAUCAGCAGAGGCACCAGCUGGCCAGUCUGACGAGCCAGACCUUGCUGCCCACACUGCCGAGGAGAUGCUUCAGAUGUUAGCCAACCCCGUUGUUCCCCAGCCAGAUGAUGAUAAGAUCCAGUUGGAGGAGCCCGAGGGUGGUGAUGCCACCAGUCACCCUGAGACCACAUAGGGAGUUUUCUUUACUCUCUACCCUCCCUUAUUCUGAUUUUGCUAAGCAUUGAGGACAAUGCUUAUUUUUAUUCAGGGGAGUGGUCUAUUUUGGUUUGAUUUGAUGACAUUUGCCUGUAAUAACUUUAAUACUCUUUUUCUUUUAUCUUUAUCUUCUCUUUCAUUAUGUAUAUAUUCCUCUCUCUCUUUUGAUUUAUAUAUUUUAUUCCCCUUGAUUUGUAUAUUCAUUUGCCUUACUUUCAGUAGUUUAUUUCAUAGCUUAUUCAUUUUGUUUUCUUAAUAGUAUAGCUUCUUAUUUACUUUAAUAGCUUCUUUUUGAUUUGUUAGCUUCUUUUUAUGUUUAAGUGAACAAUAAGCCUUUGGUUUUCUUAAUGUCGUGGUUCUUUCCAAAGGUGGGUUUUGUGUGAACCGGGUGGCUCUUCCCAAUGAUGGAUGGCGUGACAACCUUCUCAAGGGAUCGAGUCCAUUUUUUAUGUUUAGGUAGAAAUAAUAGUAUUAAUGAAUAAAUAAGGUUCAAGCAUGCUUCACUUGGUACCAACACACUUAACUACACGCUUAUGGUUAAAAACAAAAUUUUGGAAAGAAAUGGCUCUAGUUAGCGACCUUGUGACUCUUGUGUUGACUUAGGCAAUCAUCGAGUGGUUUAGUUGAGCCAUUAGAGAUUUUCAAUCUUGAAUGCGAUUGUUGUGGGCCCUCGACUUUAUUCUCUUUAACAAACCGGUUGUGUGAGGGGUGAGGUAUUUUGUUACAAGUCCAAGUACCCGUGCGAAUGGUCUAGAACUUGCCCCGAAUGUGUUUCUAGGCAAAAUUCUAAAUUAGCUUGGCUUGAAAAGUGAUUGUAGGCUCUCCUUGACCCGUUUUGAAACCUUUCAUAGCCCACCAAUGAUAUUAUUCCUAGUCAACCCUUUUGAGCUUAAAGCCUUUUUCAUUCGAUAAUCAUGUUACAAGCCUUUACCCAUUUUAUAGUGACCCUCUCUUGGCACCCGAGCUUUCUUAGGCACUCAUGAGAAACAAAUGGCGAAAAUAUAAGUUUGGGGGAGAGACGGGGAGUUUGAAGAUGGUAUCAAGGCACAAAAUGAGAAAAGAAAUGAAUAAGAGGAAAGGCAAAGAACAAUAAAGAAAGAAAGAACAAAAUAAAAACACAAAAAGAAAGUGAAUAAUGUGAAAGUGUUGAAAAGAUUCAAAAGAAAGCAAAAGUGCAAAGCAUGGAGAAAACAAAGAAGGAGAAUAUGAAUAGCAUGACCAAGAAAGAGUGAUGUCAAGUCUCUCUAAUUGCCCUAAGGAAAAAGAAAAUGACUCAAAGAGUCGACAAAGUAUGAGCCAAAAAGAGAAAAUGGAGUGCUAAAGGAAAGAUGAACCAAUUCCAUUCCAAUAUUUCCCUCCUUAGUCCAAAUGCCUUCAUUACAUGCCGAAAAAGCCCUACGUGAUUUCAGGCCGAGUAAGCUUACAUUAGUGGUGAUCUACAUGAGGGGCAAGCAUAUGGUAUUUAGAGUCGGGCUUGUGACAUUCUUUUGAGAGUGAUGAGCGAACCUUUUUUCAAUCAUUGCAUUGAGUGCUUCAUUCUUGAGUGAGAUGAGCUUACCGAGAGUAUAGGAGGAAGAGUUUGGAAUCCACAGUGACCUACAUGAAAGUGCGAACUUCCUUGAUGAAUAAAGUUAACUCUUGAUACUCAAGCAUCACAUUAGAUCUAUUUGUGCUUUAACAUUCAAAACAUAGGCUUGUUGAUGAUUCAUAAGUGUGUGGGUAAUCGUUGGUCCAAAUUGAUGUGUGUUUGAUUCAACUUAGGCCAGUUGAAAUAGCUCUUUCCUUGUAGAGGUGGGAAUUACCUUAAUUACUUGAGGACAAGCAAAAGCUUAAGUUUGGGGGAGUUGAUAAGUAGGGAUUUUGACCACUUAUUUGCACUCUUUUACUUUUAUUUUAGCUCAAAAAUGCUUAAAGGUAUUCCCGAGAACUAAUGAAAUGUGCUUUUUUGCAGGAAUAUUGGGAAAUGAGCCAAAGAGAUGAAAAUCAACUCAAGAAGGAGUAAAAUUAGACAAGGACCAAAACAAAGCAUAAAAGAGCAAAGUGCGGACCGCACAAUACUGUGUGUGGCCGGUUGACUAUGAAGAACCACUGACAAAUUCCCUUCGCAAAGUGCAGACCGCACAAUUAUUGUGCGGCCGCAAAAGACGAGGUUCAGAGAGAUGGUGUUUUGGGUCCCUGAAGAAGUACGGACCACACUAUUAUUGUGCGAUCGCAGAAUGCAAAGUACGACUGCACUCAUAAAUGUGCGGUCCACAGAAAUCUCCCAUGUCCAGCUCAAGUCCAAGAGUGCGGCAGUACUCAGAAAUGUGGGGUCCGUAAAAUCUGAAGAAGUGCGGCCGCACCCCAGAAUUGUGCGACCGCAGAAGUCCAUCCUGUCAAGCCAGCUUCAAAGUGCGGACCGCACACAUAAUUGUGCGGCCGCACAACCUCCGCAGGGGCAAUUUUAUGCGAUAAUUUCAGCUGGGUAUAAAUAGAUCUUUUUGUCAAAUUUAGGUCAAGUUUGAACACCUGAAAGUAGUUAGCCAUUUUUUUCCUUACUGUUUUGGGAACUUUGUAAUAGUUUAUCAUUUUAACAAUACAUUUUCUUCCCUUACUCAUCUAUUAUAAGUUUAUUCUUAGUUUCUUCUUUAGUUCCUUCAAUGUUGCCUAUGAGUAGCUAAAUUCUUAGCUAGGGUUAGGUCACAACCCUAGUGUGGGUGCCUAAUGGGUGUUUAAUUUGGGGCUGGUUUGUGAUUGAGUGUAUGAUAUUUAGCCUAGUUCUUGCUUGAAUUUAAGAAUUAAUGGUUGCAAAUAUUGAUUCAGGCCUAAUUGACCUAGUCUCUACUUGAGAAAGAGAGAAUAAGUCUAGGAAAACAUGGCUAACAAGGAAUUUGGAUAAACUCAAGAAAUUGAUAGCCCCAAUUAAAGGGUCAAAUCUAGAGAUAAUAAGACCCGACUUGAGCAUUCAUCAUUAGUUUUGUGAAUUACCCAUUUGGACUUGAGAAAGCCAAAUUGGGCAAAACCACUCAAACUACUGAGAGGUAUAAAGUGGAUAAUUGCGUGUGAUUGCUAUAUUACACUCCGAUCAAUCAAACCUGCCCUAAAGCCCACAAUCCAUUAGGUAACCACCUAGGUGAAAGUCGCGAUCCUAGCUCUUUUAUCAACUUGAAAAACAACAUUACCAAAAAUAUCUUUCCUUAGCUUUUCAUUUACAAACAAUAAUAUACUUUUUAGAAGUAGGAAGAAACAACCAAUUAUGUGGAAGUACAAUUUGGGCACGUCAUACACCUAGUCUAGAUAUAUACCUAAUCCCAUGUAAGCUCUCUGUGGAAUCGACCCCGACUCACGUUGGAUAAUUAUAAUUGCAUAGACCACUUCACAAUCCCAAUCAGUGGUGUGAAUUUGGGCGACAUCAGUUCGCACUUUGCUUCAGCUCUUAACAGGAGUUGGAUCUGCGGCCGCACAAUUCUACACUGUCGCCGUGUCUCUUGAGUUCUGCGGACCGCACAAUUUUGGGUGUGGCCGCACAUUUUAUUUCUGCGGCCGCACAAUUAUAGUGCGGUCCGCAGUUCUUGUUGGGCUUAGAGUUGGAACUCUCUGAACCUUGACUUCUGCGACCCUACAAUUAUUGUGCGGUCCGCACCUUACAUUGCAGCUCUGUUAAUUCUUCUUCAUGUUCUGCGGUCGCACACAGAAUUCUGCGGUCCGCACUUUAGCUUUUUAUGCUUGAUUUUUGUCCUUGUUCAAAAGCACUCCUCUUGAGUUUUAUUUCAUCGUAAUGGCUCAUUUUCCAAUACUCGUGCAAUUAAGCAUGUUUCAUCACUUUUCGGGAAUACCUUUAAAUAUUUUUGAACUAAAACAAAAGUCAAAAGGUGCAAAUAAGUAGUCAAAAUCCCCACUUAUCAGGGAGCAUGUUUGAGCUUAAGUGUGGGGUCAUCCCGAGCCUAAAUAUUGAGGAUCAUGUUGCUAGCUAGGCCCAAGAGGGUCUCAGGAAGUAUUUCUCAUCCUUAUUUUCAUAUUUUUCUCUGUGAUCAUGCAUCAAGGACUAUGCAUAACAUAAGUAUGACGUGGGAGAAUUACUUUCUGAGUGUAAUUGUAUAAAUAUAAAAUUCUCAUUAUUGUUUUUACCCAUAGCUAGAAGUUUUCUAUUUUAGAGUAGUUUCUUCAACAAAAAUAAAAUAAAAUACAAACAAAAAAAUUUAGAAAAAGCUCGGGAUUAAGUUCCCUUAAAAAAAAUUAGAAAAAAAAUUGGACAGCUUUCUUGAGGGAUUAAGUUCAAUUAAAAUACAAAAGAGAUUUUCUUUUGCUUUUAUUAGGAUAGCAUAUGUAGUAAUUCCCUUGGUUUUUCUUUGGGCACCGGUUCUUUUUCAGGGGAUGAAUUUUUGAACCGGGUACUUUUUAUUUUUAGAAUAGUGUAGGAUAUACAUACUCAGACUGAUUUUAACACACUUAAUGACUUGUUUGAUACCAGCAGAGUUAGACCUGGGCAUGAGGAUUAUAACUUUUCUUAUGAGUUUUUUAGAACUACUUGUGCCUUGAAAAAUGAAAUAGCUUGUUUUGUGACGCUUAGGCUCGUUUUCUUGACUCUUGUGUUAAUUGUUGUGCCUUAUGCAUUAAAAUUAUGGCUUAACUCUGUAUUUGCUUUGAUUGAGAGUUGGAAUGUAUCCAUUCUAAUUGAAUCAUGUGUCAUUUAUGUGGUGAGAUAUUUUGUAUAGUUCCAUAUAGUACAUUUGUGUCUAGAACUUGCCCUGCAUGUGAGUUGAAGUGAAAUCCUAGAUUUUGCUCGGUUUGAAAUAUGAUUUUAGGCCUUCUUUGAUGUUUUUUGAAUUUUAAUACUAUCACAAAUAAAAUUAUCCCUAGUUAGCCAUGUUGAGCCUGUAAAUCUUUUGUUUGACACCCAAAUUACAAGCCCAUACCCUUUUUAUUCUUAAUCGAUAUUAUUUUGAUCCAUUUACCUCUCAAAGUACUUAACUUGUAAAAUAAGUGCUAGGAGAAGUAAGGAGGGAACUUGGGUGGCUUUCGAGUGAAACCAAUGAAAGGAAGAAAUGUGCACUUGUUUGUAAGAAAUACACCACUAUAAGAAAUCAUAGAAAAAAUAUUUAGCAAAAGAAAUAAUCCAUCUUGUCCUUACUCGUGAAUGCGAGUCAAAGUAGUGGUUAAAGAAUGGAUGUUGUUUGUGAUGUUUGGAGUUAGGUUAAAGAAAGUUACGCUUAAAGUAAAGGUGACAAAUGGGUGGGUCGGGCCAAGCCGGAUCGAGAAAAAAGUGACCGGUCGGUCACCAAUCCGAGCCGGGUUCCGGGUUUUAUGAACCGGGCUUAAUGGGUUCGGCCCCAUCUGGUCAAAAAUUGAACCGGAACGGUUCCGGGCCUAAGGGGCGGGGCGGGUCCGGGUUAAUGUAAUAUUUUUUUGUANNNNNNNNNNNNNNNNNNNNNNNNNNNNNNNNNNNNNNNNNNNNNNNNNNNNNNNNNNNNNNNNNNNNNNNNNNNNNNNNNNNNNNNNNNNNNNNNNNNNNNNNNNNNNNNNNNNNNNNNNNNNNNNNNNNNNNNNNNNNNNNNNNNNNNNNNNNNNNNNNNNNNNNNNNNNNNNNNNNNNNNNNNNNNNNNNNNNNNNNNNNNNNNNNNNNNNNNNNNNNNNNNNNNNNNNNNNNNNNNNNNNNNNNNNNNNNNNNNNNNNNNNNNNNNNNNNNNNNNNNNNNNNNNNNNNNNNNNNNNNNNNNNNNNNNNNNNNNNNNNNNNNNNNNNNNNNNNNNNNNNNNNNNNNNNNNNNNNNNNNNNNNNNNNNNNNNNNNNNNNNNNNNNNNNNNNNNNNNNNNNNNNNNNNNNNNNNNNNNNNNNNNNNNNNNNNNNNNNNNNNNNNNNNNNNNNNNNNNNNNNNNNNNNNNNNNNNNNNNNNNNNNNNNNNNNNNNNNNNNNNNNNNNNNNNNNNNNNNNNNNNNNNNNNNNNNNNNNNNNNNNNNNNNNNNNNNNNNNNNNNNNNNNNNNNNNNNNNNNNNNNNNNNNNNNNNNNNNNNNNNNNNNNNNNNNNNNNNNNNNNNNNNNNNNNNNNNNNNNNNNNNNNNNNNNNNNNNNNNNNNNNNNNNNNNNNNNNNNNNNNNNNNNNNNNNNNNNNNNNNNNNNNNNNNNNNNNNNNNNNNNNNNNNNNNNNNNNNNNNNNNNNNNNNNNNNNNNNNNNNNNNNNNNNNNNNNNNNNNNNNNNNNNNNNNNNNNNNNNNNNNNNNNNNNNNNNNNNNNNNNNNNNNNNNNNNNNNNNNNNNNNNNNNNNNNNNNNNNNNNNNNNNNNNNNNNNNNNNNNNNNNNNNNNNNNNNNNNNNNNNNNNNNNNNNNNNNNNNNNNNNNNNNNNNNNNNNNNNNNNNNNNNNNNNNNNNNNNNNNNNNNNNNNNNNNNNNNNNNNNNNNNNNNNNNNNNNNNNNNNNNNNNNNNNNNNNNNNNNNNNNNNNNNNNNNNNNNNNNNNNNNNNNNNNNNNNNNNNNNNNNNNNNNNNNNNNNNNNNNNNNNNNNNNNNNNNNNNNNNNNNNNNNNNNNNNNNNNNNNNNNNNNNNNNNNNNNNNNNNNNNNNNNNNNNNNNNNNNNNNNNNNNNNNNNNNNNNNNNNNNNNNNNNNNNNNNNNNNNNNNNNNNNNNNNNNNNNNNNNNNNNNNNNNNNNNNNNNNNNNNNNNNNNNNNNNNNNNNNNNNNNNNNNNNNNNNNNNNNNNNNNNNNNNNNNNNNNNNNNNNNNNNNNNNNNNNNNNNNNNNNNNNNNNNNNNNNNNNNNNNNNNNNNNNNNNNNNNNNNNNNNNNGAAUAUUGCAUUAAGAAUUUAAGAUAAUAGAAUGCAAUGAAGAUGGAAAAAAAUUGCACUUAUAAUUUGCAAGUUCAAACUUGCAAAUUAAAGUUUAUAUUUAACAACAACUAAAUUAAUAAAAAAAGAGUAAAUUCAAAGUUUAAUUAUUAAAUAUAAAUUUAAAACUUCAAAGGUUUUGCAUUACCUUAGUAAGUUCUUCAUAAUCAAUAUGACCUUCUUGGCCAUCUUCUGGAGUGUUAAAUUCAAAGGCUUUCAUAGUUUCAUUUCAAAUUUUUAUUGCAUAAUAAUACUUCAAAUUAAUCUAACAAACUAAAACAUUAAGCAUAAUACGUCUAAUAAUUUUAAAAUAAUACAAAUUGUCUCAAAUCAACUUAAAAUCUUAAAUACGAAUUUCUGGAGUACGCUCAAGACAACUCUUCAUAUGCCUCCUUAAACAGACUGUGCCCUCCCACUUUCGACGAAGAUUUAAGACUCGACCACAGUUCUUGCACUUUACUUUGUGAACUUCUUUAUUUUCUUCUACCACCUCAAAGUGUUCCCAAACAUAUGAGCGCACUCUAGAAUCACGGGAAAUGAUUUAACUUGAAUUGAGAAUUCGAGUUUGAGAAAUGAGAGAUGAAUGAAGAAAUGAAGAGAAGGGGGGGAGUGUAUUUAUAGUUUUUCAAAAGGCUAAAUUAGUAAUUAUAAAAUGUAUUAUUUUUUAAAAUAAUUACCCAAAAAGGGCUAUUCUUGUCAAAUAUUUAUUGGGCAAUGGUCAAAUUGGAAGCUGACUGUUACCAACGGUCAAAUAAAUUUUAAAAAAAAAACAAAAAAUCGAAAAUCACUGUUGAACCGGGUUUGACUGGUCCGGUUAACCGGAUUUUUUUUUUAUAUGGACCAACCCUCCUAACCCCCCUAACCUAGCCCACCCGGCCCCUAACUACCGGUCUGGGCCAGUCCGGCUUACUACCGGUUUGGGCCGGUCCGAAAACGGGUCAACCUAGCCCAUUAAACAGGUUUAGCUUAAAGUGAUUACGUGACGUGUUAAAGUACUUAGGAUGGUUAAUCACUAUUUUCUAUAUAUAUCAUACUCGUCCCUUAGCCCACGUUACAACCACGAUAAAGUCCUAUCUGAUUUUAGACUGAACAGGCCUACAUUAGUAGAGAUUUACAUCACGGGCAAGCCUAUGGUAUAUUUUGUGUGCAUGUGGACUUCUUUGAGAGAGUGAGUGAUUUCUUCCAGUGUUUGAAGUCCUUAAAUUAUGAUUGAAUUUUAUUUGAGUGUGUGGACUAUCUUUCUUUGAUUUGUGGUGAGGGCACAUGUUUCAUGAUGGAUAUGUAACUUUAUUAAGCUCUUCAGUUAGAGUGAGUAAGUUGGCCUGAAAGUAGUUAUGCUAGGGAGUUAGUUUCUUAGAUUGAGAUGUCCUGAAUUUGCUAUUUAAUCAUUUUGAACUGUUCAAUAUUGUGCUUGGCAUGUUUUGAACAUGGGAAGGUAAGUAAAGAAUGUAUAUGCAACGGGCUAAUUGUUGGUAUCAACCAAAGUCAUUGGUGCUUGAGCUUAAUUGAAAAGUUGUGGCUUGAUUAUGAUAAGCUUAAUUUUGUUCUGUCUAUUAUAGGUUGAUUUUACUUUGAUCGAGGACAAACAAAGGCUGAAGUGUGGGGUGGUGAUGUUGGGCAUAUUUUUAUAUAUUUUAAUGUUAGUUUUCUCAUGUUUUAACUGCUUUUUGAUGCUAUUUGGUGUUAAAAAUGCUCAAGAUGUGUUAAUUAUUAGUUUUAUGAAUAAUUAAGUUGUGUGUGAUGAUUUAGGAUGUUUGGAGUGCAAAAAUAUGAAGAAAAGAUGCUCCUGCUAUAUGAGAAGAGGGUGGAUGUGUCGCAUCCAACCUUGAAAAAAAGGCAGCGCACCCUUAGCAGUAAAGUCGGAAGAAGGCAUCCACCGUAGCAUCCGCACCUGGGCGAAGCAAAGUUGAGGGAACAAAGGGUGGAUGUGAAACAUCCACCCCAGCAUCCAAUACUUAGAAGUUCAAGUUGAGGCGGAUGCGAAGCACCCAACUCAGCAUCAAUCCCUGAAGCUGAUUCGGAAAAGGAAAAGGAAAACUUUGGCCCACGACUUUUGUACGUAAUAUAUAAGCCAAAAUCGCCUCUUUUAGGUCAUCUAACAUACUAGGAAGCGGAGAAAAGCCAUUACAGAGUUCGGGAACCGUGAAAUUCAUCUUGAGUUCUUCUUUUCUCUUCUUUUAUUGACUUUUAUGUAUUCUUGAGAAUUAUUUGAGAUUGUUAUCAUGACUAUGCGUGGCUAAACUCGUUUAUUCUGGGGUUAUAGUUUCACAUGAAUGUUGAUAUUCGAAUAUUGAUUUGAUAAUUUAAUUUGUCAUAUUGGGUUAUUUAUUCAUAUCCUGAGUUUAAUUAUUUUACUGCCUAACUAACAGUGAAAUACUAUAAUUGAAUCUUGAGUUGAACUUGAAAAAGGUAAUUCUUGAUUACAAUAGGAUUGAAUAGAGCGCGAUCUUGAACCUAGUCAUUGGGGAAUUGAUUUGCAAAUACGAAUAGAAAUAUAUCUAUUUGUCGUGCUUAGCCAAUUGUGCAAGAGAUUGUCAAUGCGUUCUUUUUAUCCCUAAUCUCAUAGGAAUAUAGGGUUUAGAAUAAAUUGAAUAGGCGAGUAGAAGUUGUCAAAUUUCUACGAGUAUUAUUGUCCUUGCAGAUUAAUAACUCAAAUAAAUUAAUAAGUCGAGUUGAUUGAAGAAUUCAGCAGGAUUGUUAUCCAACCAUGAUCUUGAAAUAUUAUUUCUCAUUGAAUUCAACUCUUCGUGCUAAGUGUGCUAGUUAAUUAGUUUUUUUUUAAUUAAAAUAAUCAUUAGUAGAAUUAAUUAAAUAAAAAUCAACUUGAACUUAUUUUUGACUCGAUAAAUUAGAAAUUGCUUGAUUUAGUUUAUAAUUGAUCACUAAUACUCGUGGGAACGAUACUCUACUCACUCUUCAUUACUUGAUUGACCGCGUAUACUUGUGUGUGCGAUUUAAGACAACAGUUAACUAACUUUCCAUUAAUUCAAACACAUUUUUAAUAACAUUUAUACGAUUUUUUAAGAUUUUGUACUCAGAGGUACACAUACAUAUUUGGAAUGAAACGAAUAAAUAUACAGACUUUUUGAUAAAUAAAAGUCACAAGCAUAGAUAUUUUAAGUAAUUUAUUUAGUCUUUUCCCAUGUACUGGAAAAUAAAAAACCACAGUGAACGAACUUUAGCGCUUUUCGAGUUAGAUUUGGUGGAAAGUUUUGGCUGAGUUUAAAUUUUUUAGUGAGUGGGUAGUUUUAGUAAGUUAAUGACCUUACUUUUUUUUUUUGUAGAUUUUAAACAUUUGAAUAGUUAAAUAAAUUUGAAUUCUUUCAAAGUAGCAUAGAAUGAAAUAAAAUUUGUUAGUGUUAAGAAAUAUAGCUCAAAAUAAUAAUAUAGUAUAAGGAAAAACAAGCUAAGAGAUAUAGAGAGAAAAGAUAUAUAGAGAUUCUUAUUUUUUUUUCAACUGUGUGUCAUUUUCUAUCUAUUACAAGACCUUUAUAUAAGCAUGAAAAAUAAAGAAAUAUAUCAUUGAAUAUGUCAUUAAGCAUUUGAGAUCAUAGAGGAAGAUCAUGAGGAGGUUAUGGAGUUACAAUCAUAACUCCGUAAGUAUUAUAGUAGUGAAAGUUAUGGAGAUAAUGAAGAAGUAUAGUGAGCAUUACUCCUUUGAUGGUUAAAGACAUCCACCAUAAUUUAAGAUUUUAUAAUAGUUAGCACUUUUUGGAAGUUCAGUAUAUUUUGGAAAAUAAGUCGCCUAUACAACCGACGAUCUCUCUGUCUUUUUCUUAGCUAAUUUACAUGGAUGUACAAUAUAUGUGUAAUCCAUGUAAUAUAGACUUCUAUAAGCUCAAUUAUAACGCAUUAUAACCAAAAUUCUUGAAUUUCUUUGAAAGGACUAUCCGAGUUAUAUAUGGGGGAAAGUUUGGGCCUAAUUAGAAUUUUUAGUAAGUUAGUGGGCACUCUUAGUAAGUUAUUUUCUUAAAACUGUGGUCGCCUAUAGAACCGACGAUUUAAAACAAUAUAAAUAAAGGACAUCGUCUAUCAAGUGUGACCUAUUUGCAUUUUCUACCCUCAGCUUUUUCAUAAAACCCAAAACCCAACCCAACAGCCCAACUUCUUAAAACCCUCGCUUCUCUUUCGGACAUUUAGCAGAAAACUAUGUUUUAAAAGGCGAAAGAGCGUGAGUUGAGACAUUUUACUUAAUGUGGGGUAAGACGUAAGCCCUGAAACGAUCUUUAAAUUUUUUUAUUUAUAAAUUAAUAAAAUAGUAAAAUAAUCACAAAAAAUAUAUAUAAUACAUUAAAAUUUAAGAAAAUUAUAAGGGAUUAUAAAACUCAUAAAAAUAAAAUAUCUAGCAUUUUUUAUUAACAUAAAUAAUGAAAUAGUGUUAAAGUUACUAUGAGAUAAAAAUCAACUAAAACGUCUUAUCUUUCGAACAAUUUAAAAAACAUACGUAAUAUGUUUAAAAAUAUUAUCAAACUACAAAGUUUACCUCUCUAAAAGUUAAUAAUCAUUAACUUCAUCAAAAUUGUAAUUUAAAGUAUUACUCCUUAUAAAUAAAUAUAAAAUUUCUUUCAAUUAGCGAAAUAAUUAAAGUAUGAUAAUUUUGAGAGAGAUAGACUAAGAUAUGAAGACCUAUAGCAAGUGAUCAUGUAAAUUUUGACUCUUCAAGUGAUACUCACCCCAACGGUAUUCUUAAUCAGUAAAUAUGUAAUACUAUGACUCAUUAUUUAGAGUUACUCUUGAUCUUCAAUUUUUAUAGAUAAAUAAAACUUUAAUAAUUCAUUUGUUAAAGAAUUUUGAGGGUCAACAAUGCUAAUUAGGUAAUUAGACACAUAAUUUGCGUUAGGAAUUGUUAGGCGAGCCCUGAGCAUUGAGCGUUAGGCAUAUUUCGAGUGCACAGUCGAGCGCUUGGGGCGUAAGCCUCACAAAACCAAACCCCACACGUGAGCCUUAGGGCGUUUUGAUAAUGUCGCUCCCCGGAGAGAGCCCCGAAGCGAGUGCCAAGAAAGUCUUUUAAAAUACUGGCAAAAAAUACAUACACACACUCCAAUUUAACUCUUGAUUGCAAUAAAAGAUUUCUCUUCCUAGUUGCCCCUUAAUUUUACCAUGUGGAAAUAGUCUUGUGCAAAAUAUAAGGUACAAUUGCAUACAUAAAAUUUAAUAUGGUCCGAUCCUUUUUCAGACCUCAUGUAUAACGAGAGCUGCCUAUUGUUUGCUUGAGCUGCUCGAACUUGAUGGGCUAAUAACUUGUAGAGAUAGUUCAUGACAUAUUCAUAUCUAUAAAUGCAUGUUAUUAAGAUGAACAAAAUGAAAAGAUUAAAGUUAAAAAAAACUUCAAGAACGUUAUCAUUCUUUUAGAACGUACAAAAAAAAGUAUAGAAAAUUAAUGGAGUUUAUUAUUAAUAUUAAUGAGGGAGGAUGCAGAGGCGGCCACACAUGAUGAGUAGUGGGGUCACCGGCACCCAAAAACUUCAGCAAAAACUCCAUAUAUACUAGCAAAUAUUUUUAAAAAAUAGUUAGAUAUUAGUAUACGUCCCGUACUAAUCUUUAUGAGCAUUGAUAAACUUAUAUUGAAUGUCAUGAUGCCCGCACUACCGCUGAAUCCUAGGUCCGCUUCUGGGAGGAUGUAUAGUCGUUGAUUUCUUAGAUAUUAAAAAUUGAGUAAAAUUGUAGUGAAGUGAGUAAAGAAUUAAUUUCACUUUUGUGCAAUUUUAUGUAAUUCUAUCUAUUUUAAGUUGCUUCAAAAAAAGGAAAAAAUAAAAAAAUAAAAAGGUUGCUUAAUGAAAUAAAAAUAAAAAAUGAAGAAAAGUGAAAAAGGCCCGUUUAUAACCAUGAUUUACUAUUUUACCCUUUUCAAUCAAGUAUAUGUUCUCGGUUCGAGUCUGGCGCAAAGACUGAAUUCUAGCGUACUUUGGAAAGGGACAAAAUUGUCCAACUCUAUUUAAUACAAUAUACUCCAUAUAAAUAAAAUACUGAUCGAUUAGUGUUGUGAAUACUGAAUGAGACCCCUCCCUCAAAACUUUGGGUUUACUGUAAAAAUUUCAAAUCGGAAAAUUUCGCCGGAAAAAUGUCGGGGAAAGGAGCAAAGGGAUUGAUAACAGGGAAAACAUCGGCAAAUAAAGACAAAGAUAAGAAGAAACCCACCUCUCGUUCUUCUCGUGCCGGUCUUCAGGUUCCCGCCCUCUUUUCCUCUUUUACUUUCUAUUUUUGUCCAAUAAAUUAUCUGGGAUUUUGUUUAAUUCUUAUGCAACCUAUGUUUUGCUUAGAUUUUUGGGUUAUUGUUGUAAAUUAGGGAUUUUUAUGAGACAUGUCUUAGAAUUGUGUUUUGAUAAUCGUGGUAUCCGGCCAGCUAGACUAAUUCCACGGGUUACGUGCUACCUCCUACCAGCAGAGGAUUUAUAGUCCCACGAGCCUGGUACCCUGGCUCGUGGCGUGAGCGAAACCGCGAGGCUCCCAUGCUUGCCCUUUCGCCACACUAGGGCCUUAGUGAGGGAGGGCGUUGUGUGCCGGGCCUUUCUUGCGCAAGGGCUGCUAUUUGCUAUCGAUCGAUAGCUAUCAUCUCCAAGAUAUCACUCACCAUUAGGGGUUGGACGUUCAGUACUUCGGUUCGGUAUUUAAGAACUUUGAUUCGGUACUUUGGUAUUCGGUUUUUCAAUUGUAUAUACCAAAUACCGUACCAAAGGUAGUUCGGUAUUUCUUGUUCUGUUUGGUCAUGUGUAUGUAAUAACUUAAAUAUAGCUGCCAAAUAAAUUGAGAACUAAUGUACUUUUGGAAAAGAAUAGUACCAUCUUUUAAGUAGGCAAGUGACAACAAAUUUCUAUCCACAUUUUGCUUACCAUACAAUGCGUGAAAUGUAACUAGAAUCUUGCCAUAAUUUUUGACAAGAUAAUCAUAACUUUAAGGAACAAAUAUAGCUAACUGAACUGUAGCCAAAUUUGAAAAAUAUUGAAAUAGCAUAUCAAAUAUUCAAAUGGGCAGUAGCAAAGUAGCAUCAUAUCAACACUCUACAGCAGUAGCUGUAAUGGUAUACUAACUCAGACAUUUUGAGCCCAUUUUUCCUCCAUUUUCGGGCGAUUUCAGAGCUUUUGAGAAGGGAGUUCAACUAACAACUUGAAGGUAAGUUAAUUCUACACCCCUUGAGUUAAAUACAUAGAUUAUAAGUAGAUUAUAACUAGUAAAUCUUAGAAAUCAAAAGUUUAGGUGAAAAACCUUGAUUUUUAUAAAAAUGAGAUUUUAACCACGAAAAUAGUUAUGGAAUUAGGUAGAAAUUAUAUAUUUGAGUUCUUCAGAUUAUGGGUAACGUUCCAUCCGGAAAUUUCCAGAAUCCGGGCACGUGGGCCCGGGGUGAAUUUUAGGAAUUUUAUCAUUUUGGAUAGGGUAAUUUAUUUAAUAGAUGAAUUUCGAAUUAUUGAACAUAUAUUAAUCAUUUUAUAUAACUUUUGGAUAGUUUCGGAUUUUUCGGCAUUGAAUCGAGAAUUUUACGCGACGCGAUAAUCGGAAAGUGGGCUUUGAGACGAGGUAAGUCUCUUGUCUAAUCUUGUGAGGGGGAAUUACCCCAUAGGGAUUAAAUUGAAUAAUUAUUGAUAGCUGAAUAAUUUUGUUAUUCUGGUUUCUCUACGCAAUGCACGACUUGUGUCAAUACUAAGGUCUGUCAGGUAGUGGUUUUAUUCCAGGAAUUCUGUUACUCUUCUUUGACUCUUGACUUGGAUCGUGCAAACUUGCAAACUGCCAUGUGUAGUAAUGUCUUUAAAUUUUUUUCAUCAGCAUCUAAUAUUAUUAGCAGGAUUAUGUGACCUUAAAUUCUGCAAAUACCUUUAUCCUUGGCAGUGCUGGGAUCAAAUGACUAUCUUUCGUUAUGGUUUCUAAACUGUUUGGCUUGUGCCUUUUCAGUUUCCAGUUGGGCGUAUUCACCGAUUGCUGAAAGAGAGGACCACGGCAAAUGGGAGAGUGGGAGCCACAGCAGCUGUCUACUCUGCUGCUAUCAUGGAGUAUCUGACCGCUGAGGUAUUGGAGUUGGCUGGAAAUGCGAGCAAGGAUUUGAAAGUGAAACGUAUCACUCCAAGACAUUUGCAGCUGGCAAUUCGAGGUGAUGAGGAACUUGAUACUCUGAUCAAAGGAACUAUAGCUGGAGGAGGUGUAAUACCGCACAUUCACAAGUCGCUCAUCAACAAAUCUUCGAAGGAGUAAUUAAGCCUGUCUCUUACAAGUUGUCUCCUUCCUUUUUGGAGAAAUAUUCGUUUCUGGAAACUUUAGCCAUUUGCUUUUGGUGUCUGCAAAUGCAUAGGCAGAGAAUUUCUGUACCAACUACUUUUGCAUAUUCUAUCUAGAUUCUCCUUAGGUUUACCAGACAUGGUUCUUUGCUGAUAUUAGUAAUGUCGCAAGUGAUUGUCUUAUUUCCUCUAUUAUCUCUCAAGCCCUUUACUUAACACAUCCAUCAAUGAAUGUGAAUUGUGAAUGCUGUCAUGGUGAUUGGUGGGGAUUAGAUAGAUCCUCUGUAGUGUCUGAACUCAGUGUUACUAAAAGCCAUCGCUUCAUCGCUUAAAACAUGACGUGAUGCGAAGCAAGAGGCUAUUGCUUCAUGGGUGAAGCCAUGCACUUAAGAGAAACGUGCGCUUGCGCAUAGUGAUCCAACGAGAAGUUGUCGGGUUUGUUUGCAUCUCAACUUUGAGUUGGACUAGUAUCUGCAUCAUUAUACAUUGGAUGCUGAAAUUUAAGUUUCUAAAUGCAAUUUGAUUAGUAUGUUUAAAAUUUUUGUACAUCGUGUAUUUCACUUCAUAGAAGCGUGCACUUCUCAAGCCUCGUGGACCUUGUCUCUUAUUAUGCAUUUUUUGCUUUUAAAAGGCACAACUUGGUGUUUGUUUUUCCAGUUUAUACGAGAUAGAAUUGUAGAGCAGGAGAGCUGGCAACUUCAAAAUUUGAAAAGGUAACAAUAAACCUAGCUGUAGAAAAGAAGUUGAAGAGGACCAUCCCAUUUUCAAGUUGUAGUUUGAAAAGAAAUUGUUGUGUGGGAAAUUGCAGAACUGGUCAAUGGUGAAGAUCUAUGUCCUUUUUAGGCGAAUACGGAAGUCUAGAGACUUUUAAUUGAACUUUUAGGAUUUUUUGCCGUAGUGGAUAGAAUUAUCAGAUAUAUGUGCUGAUCCGAGAAAGCAAGUACCGGUGGAACAGUUGAAGUGCGUGUAAGUUGGCCUAGCUUGCAUCAACUUGUACUGUUCAUACUGUGGUAGAGUUGUCAAAGAUUUUGCAGCAAUAUUAGAAAGUGAAUCAACAUUAUCCUUAAAUGAAUCUAUCAAGAUUACAAGUUUUAAUAAAAAUUCACAAUCUGAAUAAGCUUCCAAUAAUAGUUGAUUGAAUUCUAGUACAAUUAUUAACAUCCAAAAGACAACAAAAUUCCUGUAUAGACAACUAACAAAAUGCCCUUGCUUGUAGUUUACUUCUAGAUUCACCACUACUGAUAAAGACCCUUGGAGUAAGAUGCAAAAAAAUUUACAAUGCCAUUCCUAUGGCAAAGCUAACAAACUUUCCCCAGAAAAUCAAAAGAAACAACUGCCAACAGAGGCUAAUUCAGCAUAUACGCGCGCAGUGUGUGCACGUGCACCCACUGAGUCGA
rnacentral:lncRNA from 1 species